rnacentral:lncRNA from 1 species
UGCUGGGUUCUAUGAGGAUCCCAGUGCUGUUACGAAAGGUUUAAUCUUUUUUUUUAAUUUUUUAAUUUUUUCAGCAUUUAUACAGAUGAAAUUUGGCUUCCUGAAGAAACCCAAAUCGUGUUUUCAGGGUGGAAAGCUAACCCUGUUGAAUUCGAUUCGGUUUUUAAUCGAAGCCGGCAUACUUUUUCUUAUGGUAGUCCGGAUAUAGUUCCGAUUUUCUGCGCUGCAUUGCCUCACAGCACCUGGAAUAGUUACCCUCAUGAAUUUGAAGACUUUGCUACUGGUUUGAUUUCAAACUUUCAUCACAUUGUUUCAGUUACAACUUGUUAUGUCUGUUUUCGUUUUCGGUUUACUGGAUUGUUUUCAGUCUUUUAGCACAUUGCUACUGGUGAAGUUUAAAUAUUUGGUAAUUGCGUAUGAUGCUUUCUUUUAUCAAUAUGUAUGUGUUAAUGCAGAUGCUUCCUUUCUGGAUGAGUGGUCUUUUGAUCAAUUUCAGAGCCUUCUGAAUCGGUCCAAAGAAGACCAGAAGUUGAAGGAGUUACUCUUACAGGAUAAUCUUGUUGUGUUUUUGCACUUACUUGGCUGUGAUUCAAAUGGUCAUGCGCAUAGGCCCUUUUCGUCCAUAUAUCUCAAUAAUGUUGCGGUUGUUGACAGUAUAGCUGAAAGGGUUUAUAAUCUUCUUGAAGAUUAUUACAAGGACAAUUGUACUGCAUAUGUAUUUACCGCUGAUCAUGGAAUGCAUGAUAAAGGUUGGAAUUAAUUCAUUCACUUAUAUAGAAAUUUUUUGCUCUUCUUUUUUCACUGAAUUGUUAUAAGUUUUUAUCUUCAUCAUUUUUUCCCCCUUGUAACAGUUCUUACGUGUUAUAAUUUUACUGAUAGGCAGCCAUGGAGAUGGACAUCCUUCAAACACUGAUACUCCCCUAGUUGUUUGGGGAGCAGGUGUUAAACAUCCCAAGCCAGUCUCCAACCAUUCUGAUUGCAGUUUUCGUUUUGUUGAUGAUCAUAUGCAUGAUGCGCCAACACCUAAAGAAUGGGGCCUUCAUGGCAUUGAAAGGGUGGAUGUUAAUCAAGCUGAUAUUGCACCUCUCAUGGUUGUACAAUUUGCUUUCCCAACUUUUUUCCCCUUUAAACUACCUUUCAAGUUUAAUCACUCUUAUUUGCUGAUUGAGUUUUCUGGCAGUCAACUCUUCUUGGUUUGCCUGGUCCUGUAAACUCAGUUGGAAGUUUACCUCUUGAUUACAUAGACAUGACAAAGGUAUAGUCAACCAGUUUGAUUGACGACUUUAUCUUUUCGUUGUAAAGGAUGUAAAAUGUUAUCACUUUUAUCUUUGCCUGCAUAUGCAUAUUCUAUUCGAUGAGUUUUCUGGUUAUUUGGUAGACAGCUGAAUUUUCUCUUUUCGUUUAAUUUUCCAGGAAGAUGAAGCUGAAGCUGUGGUUGCAAACUCAAAGCAAAUUCUCAACCAGUUUCUUAGGAAGUCACGUAUCCUUUUGUUAUCUGAUUACACACACACACACACACACACACACACAUAUUUAUGCGCUAUAGAUGACAACAAGGCAUCACUUCCUUUAAUCAUAACAUAUCCAAUUCGUUUAAUGAAAUAGCAUAUUAAGUUUAAAACUGUUGUUAUAUCUGAUUCUACUGGAGUUUUGAGGAGCGAAAGGAGGUAGACACGUCCUUUUUAUUGAUCUUGGAUUUCUUGACAAAAUUAGAAACAAAGGAGGCAAAUUCAUUAAAUUUUAAGCCUUUCAAACCACUGGCCGAUUAUUCCUCCCUAUUGGAUCAGAUUGAGGAUCUAAUAUCUAAUACAGACUAUGAAGCUGCAAGGAAGCUGUCUGAAGAUCUCAGGGAUUUGGCUUUGAAAGGACUACACUAUUUCCAAACUUACGAUUGGCUGAUGCUCAUGACAGUAAUUAUUCUUGGGUAUAUCGGUUGGAUGACCUAUAUUCUUCUCCAUGUGUUGCAAUCUUAUACUUCAUUGGCAGGGUAUAUGUUUAGAAAGGAGCAAGCAGAUCACCGGACAGAUAAUACCAGAAAAGUAAUGUUUGUGUAAGCUUGACCUCUUGUAAGCUUUGAUAGCGAUUUCUAAAUUGAAGGACGUAAUUCUAAAAAAACCUAUGUUUUUUGUUAAAAAAAAAUAAAAAAUAAAAAAUAAAAGACGUUUGUGACUAUAUUAUAUAUGAAAUUUGAACAUCUAGAAGUGUUAAUAUUCACCCUGUAAUGUAACCCAUAAAUCUCAUUAUUUUCUGUAGGUACAACUUUGUGGAUGCCUUUUUCUGGGACUACUUAGUAUAGUACUGUUUAUGGAGCGUUCUCCUCCUCUUUACCACACAUACACGUCAAUGACAGUAUUUCUAUGGACACAAAUAUUUAGUGAAUAUUGGUUCAUCAAAGCAUUAUGGAAAGAUUUAUAUGGAAGAAGAAUCAAUUACUUUGUGAAAAUUCUAGCCACUGGUGCUUUCUCAGUAUUCAUUCUUGAAUUCCUGGUAUUGAAUCAGAACUGUAAUUUUUCACACUGCAAGCCAUGGGAUUAUUGUACCCUACAAUCCUGAACAGCGUCUUUUGGUGAUUCCUGCAGGUUAAUAGCUUUACUGAGAGGAAGCUAUACACUUGGUGUUUCCUAGUUUCCGGAGUCAUAUCCUUUCUCUAUCUCUUAAAAUCAAUUCCAUGGAGAUCUGGCAUACCAAUCUUUGUUUGUGCUGCAUGUUGGUUCUUGUCUGUAUUUACUUUGAUGCCAGCAGAAAUUCCAGAUAAUAAUCGUCUAGUGUAAGUCAUCUUAAUUCCUGAAUGUUUCUUUCAGGUGUGUGCAUGUGUUGGGUCGGGGGUUAAUUUUUCAAAUAGUUAUGACUUCAUUGUAAAUGUAAGGAACUUCAGAAUUGUUAGCACAAUCUCUAAUUCAACCAAUACCUUUAUUGUGCUCACAUCUUUGUAUGGGAAGGCUGGGCUUUGUUGAGAUUUCCUUCUUUCUAGGAGGGUAAACCUGGUAUGUGUUCAAAGCACAAACCCAGCACGUGCCAAUAUUACUAUUUGCAGGAACUCGAAUCAGCUUUGAUAAUUGUGUUUGUUAUGUUUGUGUAAAAUUAAGAAAUGAAUUGAAUGCACAUUUGAUUAAUCAAUAAAGAUUAAGCUAAUUAUGAAGCUUUUGUGACGAAUCAUGUUUGCAGGAUUUGGAGUGGAGUUAUGAUUAUUAUGAUCGGAGUAGCUGCCAGACUGCUAGAUCUGCGCACUGAAGGAAAGUAUUGGCUAAGUAUCUGUAAUCAUGACAAGAAGAAACCUAAAUUUCCCAUGCUCUUCCAGUUACAGGUGCUUAACCUAUCUCUGUACUUGGUUGGUUUGGAAAGAAUAUAAAGUAACUUAACAAGUCUGGAGAUAAAUUUUAGAUUUUUGGACCUUUGUGAAUUAGGCUCUUUUGGUUGGAUUGUCAUCCAUGAUGGUGUCGAUAUCAACCUCUCAUAGAACAGAGAAGCAGGAACUACUCGCUGUGCACCAGAUCAUAAAUUGGUCCAUCGCUGGUAUGCAUUCCAACUCUUCCCUAUUAGGUUAAUAUUUAUACUUCUAUUCGGGCCUUUUAACAUAUCCGGCUUGUAAGUUAUUUUCUCUUUAUAAUUGAUAUGUCAGUUGACAGGUAUUUAAUGCCUGAAAAGUUUAUAACUGCAAAUUACAUGUCUAUUGAUAUUGAUCUUUAAUUUGUCGGGUCAUAGGUUUCUCGAUGGUACUUCCAUUAUUUUCAGCAAAUGGUCUCUUGUCCCGGCUUACUUCCAUAUUUCUCGGUUUUGCUCCCACAUUUCUUCUAUUAUCUAUCGGGUACAGUCCAUCCAUAUGCUAACUUUUAUGGUUGCCUUCAUUUAACAGUUUUUUUAAUAUGCAUAAUGUUAGGAUGAUUUUUUUGAUCUUUUCCUUCAUUCUCAAAACAUAUGCAGAUAUGAAGCUGUUUUCUACGGUGCUCUGGCCCUUGUACUCAUCUCUUGGAUACUAGUUGAAAACACACUUAUUUACUCAAGUAAGGUGAAAAGGUUGUCAAGUUCCUUUAGCGAUAUGGAGGAUAAUGUCAUACUUGAUGGUAGAUACUUACAGCUGUCUGACGUGAGAAUUCCGUUAAUCUUUGUAAGUCCUUUCUCUUUUCUUUUUGGAAAAUAUUUAUCUGAUUGUUGGAGAAAUUUAAUGAUAUACAUUGCCCACUCUUUUUGAUAAUUUUACUGCUCAUCAUGGUAAUCUCCGAUGUCUUUUGUGGUUUUAGAUGGUUUUAUUCAACGUUGCUUUCUUUGGAACGGGAAACUUUGCGAGUAUUGCAAGUUUUGAGAUUUCAUCAGUGUAUCGGUUCAUUACUGUCUUCAGUGUAAGUGAAGGGUGAACUUUCCUCAGUAUUUAUCAGAUUAGUCGCUAUUACUUACCUGAUAUUAUUUGGUUCUAAUUGCAGCCGUUUCUCAUGGCCGCCUUACUUAUCUUCAAGUUAUUCAUUCCGUUCCUGCUAGUCAUGUAAGUACAGUUACAAUUUUGUGUGUGAUACGUGGUUGCAAGCUGUUGAAACAUCCUUCUUUUAAGCCAUAAGAAAUUGUAAGCAAUUGGGUUCUCAUAUAAUUUGUGUUCGACUGACUUGCAGAUGUGUAUUCAGUGCAAUAACAAAGCUAAACCGACUUCCACGGUUGGCAUGCUAUUUUCUCGUUAUACUAUUUUCAGACGUAAUGACUAUGCAUUUUUUCUUCCUGGUAAGUUACUAUACUCUUCAGAUUUUGGACUCGUAAAUUUUCUCACCGCACCUGUCUCUUGUAACAAUACGAGAGUACCCAAUAAAGUAACCACACUAUACAUACUACACAUGCAUGGACGAAUGCUUCUUAUCAUACAGCAUCAGAACAAUCGUUUCUAGCAAACCCUACUGACAGUUUUUAUCGUUGUUAGGUCCGGAAUACAGGAAGCUGGAUGGAAAUUGGUAACAGCAUCAGCCACUUCGGAAUCAUGAGUGCUCAAGUUGUCUUUGUGCUUUUGCUCUUUGCUCUCACGAACAUAUACACGAAAGAUAUCGACAUUGGUUCAGUGGACUGCUCCUCUCGGAAAGCAAUGUAGGUCGUGUUAAAUUGGGACUUUGGGCAUCAAAAUAAGUCACCAGUGUUCAGGAAAAGCGAGCAUUAACGCUGCUAAGGCACACGUCUUGCGGUCUUCUGCAAUUUUUUGCCGUUUAUUCCUGCAACUGCUGAUUGCUCGUACAAAGUUCGAUUGAAAUUUAAUGAGAGUCAGAGCAAUGCGAUUUUCCAAGUGUUCCCCAAAGAUCCCACAACGUUCGAUUGAAAUUUUGGCACUCUCCUCACAUGUCUUGAUUAGUUGAUACGAUUUAACCAGUUAUCCCAUUUAGUUAUUCAUUGAUCAAUUUUGUAACUACAUUUAACCAGUACAUACUCCUCUUUUGGCUGUCUGAAAUAUUUGAUUGAUCGUAGAUACUAUCUUCCAUCUCGAAACAAUAAAAGUCGGCCUUAUAUUGGGAGAAAUUCUUGGCUACGAACGACCAGACCACAUGGUUGUUUAAGAGCAUCUUUAACCAGAGUCCCAUCACUAUUUUUGAAGAAUCAUUUACGAACUUAAAGGGAAUAUACUUGUUCCUAAAAGAAAAUUAGUUCCAAUGGAGUGUCUUAUAGUAUAAUCUUUAAAUUUAAGGACUAUGAAUUAAAAAAUCAUUGUUAAUUUCACAAGGAGAAACCUUAAAAAACUUUCACAACCGUUGUUUUCUCAUCAAACAAAAGAGAAAAGUAACAGGACCUGCCCCGUUGGAAGCUGCCCAGUAUUUUAGAGUUCCAUCACGUGCUCGCGUGCUGGGGACUUUCCUCGAAGAAAGAUGGUAAUCUACUAUAAAAUCAAAAGUAACGUUAUCUACAUACUUAUUUUACUUUUAAAACAUCCCUAUACAAUCCUUAAUUGUAAAGUAAUUGUAAGGUAAUUGCGAUCCACUGGAAGUCACCAAGUAUAGAAACAAACAUUGGAGAUGCUCUAAUUGCACGCACAAAACACCCAUUCUUGCCGAUGGUCCCACCCUGCGCCCCUUGCGCGCAUGCGAGCGUUCGUACUCAAGGAUUGCCCCUUGUAAUUGUAAAAGCAAAUAAUAGAAAAAGACGACCAUAUGGUAUUGCUGGUAGGUGAACUGGGAAAGAAACAGAACGGUCAACGGCCAUACCCGAGCUCUCAGAUUCACUAGUUAGAUUCCUUUGUAAAUUUCUUUGCAUCCUUCCGCGAACGUUCAGUCGUUAAAAUCAGCAAUGUAUUAAAUAUUCAUUGCAGGAAGCAAGAGGGAAUAAAUAAUGCAAGUGGGAAUAAUUAACCUGAAUUUUAACACGCAAACGUACAAAAGAAGACAAGGAAAAGCUACGAGGCAAAGGUCUAGGGCCCUCCCUUUUCCUCCGAGAAACUUUCAGGAACAAGUUGCGUGGACGACGACCUAGACUUUGCUGUGCAUCGUCGACUUGGUGGGAAGUUUCGUCGUGGGGCCUUUUGAUUGGUGAGACAAAGACGUCCAUAAUAUUUAAUAACGAUAGGAUUGAUUCGUAUUCUAUAUAAAGAGAGACAUAUUGACCAUUCCGGUAUCCUCUUCUCUCCAUCUACUGUGUGUUCUAAGCAGAUCGGCAAAAGCUUGAAGAUGAACGACCAGUAAGUCAACUUCGACUUCAAACUCCUCCGAUCCUUGUUUUUCUUUGAAUCCUUUGCCAUGAUUUUUCUUGUGUUGUCUUGAUUAAGCGGAAAAUGGUCUGGAAUGGCUAAAAGUGUGUUUUGCAACUAUCAAAAGUUCUUGCGGUUAAAUCUGGCAAAAAAAACUUGCAAAACGCUUUUAGAUAGACGGUAUAAGCUCUUUUCGGAGAAGCGUGUGCUAUGUCCGCCUUCUACAAGCACUUCUAUAUUUUCAAGUGCUUUUUCGAAUAGCACUUGAGUAUUUAAUUAACAUUUCUAUAUGUUCAUGGUAAAAGAUAAGUGCUUAUGAGUGAAGUGAAUCUUACGAAAUACAAUAGCUUAAUAAUCGUCCUUAUAGUUUACCAAAGUGCAAUUUCAUUCUUACAAGUAUUUUGCUAAAGUGAUUUAUGACCGCACGAUAUACGAUGAACGGAAGUGAUUGGAGGAUCCUCUUGGGUCAUACACCUCUUAAUUUUCGGAUCGUCAGAUCAAAUGAAGUGAGGAAGAUCAAUGAACAAUAAUUAACAAGGUUGUGUGAGAGGUGCAAAAUGGGUUGGAGAAUAACACUUUGCUAGAAAUAUAACGAAAUUUCUAUAGAAAACUAGCUUGUUUGAAAUAUUUUUUAAACCAAUUUUUAGUACAAAUGAAAAAAAAGCUUGGAAAAGCACAUGCAGUGCUUCCUUGCAAAAAGCACGUAACUAGUGUUUUUUGAAGGAAGCACUUUAAACGCUUCUUAUAAGUGUUUUUGGAAUCUAAAAAUAUUUUCUUUAAAAACGUUUUUAAUUAUUUUAAAACCAUUUUCAAACGAAAUGCAAUUAAAAAUACUUUUGGUGGUUAGACUGACAUUUUCAGCUAUUUCAACAGAUGUUUCAAGCAUGUUUGUUAUUAUAGUUGGAUGCUAUUUGCUUACACCCUCCAUUUAACUUUGCUUCAAUUUUUUGUUGGUGAUGACAGCAUUAGCAGUGCUGGGCUUGAACUAGCAAAUGUGCUGGUGACUUCUCUUCCCCUGCACCAGUCAUGGAACGCGGUUCUUGAUCAGAAGCAAAAGCUCCCCCCAGCUGCUGAUCCAAACCAAAAAAUGGCCUUGGACAUUAGUGAAACCAAGCACUCAAACACCACCAUCAUAUCUUUUCUUACUUCACCCGUCACGCUUCACGAUCAACAGCGAUGGUUUCGUUUACUCCCAAGAACGCAGAUUUUUCUCUCUUUGAGUUUUUGUGCGGCAAAAACACCCCAAGUUUCUCCAUCAAUGAAUUGGCAAUCAACUUCUUCAAAUUGAACCUCACAAACCUCGAUAUUUGGCGAAAAAAGGUGAGUAUUAUUGUCUUUCUGAUAACUGAUAAUGUUUAACCGCUUUGACGACUCUUAAUGUUAGUGAGAAACAGUUAAAAAUCAUAUUUAUAUUGCUAGAUUACUUUUCACUUAUUUAGUUUGGCUUCUUUGACAAACUGUUUAUGUUAACAAAAAAUGCUUACAAAUCCCUCAUUUAUAGAGUUAUAAAAGCCGGAUAUAUUAACAGUGGAGUCCUUUCUUUGUUUGUUUCAAAACCGAGUUUAAGUUUUUUUUUGUUUUUUUUACUAUGAAUGUAGUUUGAGGAACUUAUUUAUAAAGACGUCUCCGAAUUGAUUAUAUAGAAGUUCAGUAAUUGACCAACUUUUAUGUAAUAUUUCAGCUGGUAGAAAGCAGCAAAUCCUCACGGAUAGUUAUCACUGGACAUUCUUUUGGAGGUGCUGUGGCUACCCUUUUCACCCUAUGGCUGCUGCAAAGCCUUGACUUGUCGAAAGCGAAACGCCCCCUUUGCAUCACUUUCGGUUCACCCUUGAUCGGUGACGAACAACUCCGAAAAUGUGUGUUGGAAUUCUCAACAUGGAGUUCUUGCUUCUUGAAUGUAGCCUCCAUCAAUGAUCCUGUACCUAAAGUCUUCCUAACUUCGCAAGGGAGUGGUUAUAAGCCUUUCGGAACAUUCCUACUGUGCUCCUCUUCGGGUGGUUCUUGCAUUGAGGACGCUGAUGCCAUUUUGCAACUAUUGGUGGAAACCAGCUCUCAGUGUGUUCAAAAUCCAGUUCCGAAUUCAGGGACUCAGUUGUUUGAUUACGGAAAGAUUUUGAAUGAUCUCAAGACCAAGGCAUUGUUUAGAGAUGUCUUUGAGUUGGUUGAAGAGGAUAGAGUUCCACUUAAUGCUGGAAUUAAAACACAGUUGGCAGCAAUAUUAGGCGUUCUCAGCUCACAGGUAUCAAACUUUCAACAUGAAUAUCUGAUUUGAUGAUAGAUUUUGGGAAAUGGUUUCCGCACAAACCUGUGUAUUUCUAUCUCUUGAUUCUCCUUUGAUUUAUUUAAUCCAAAGACUAGAAAUAAACACGGGUGUGCAGGGGGAGAAUAUGAUUUUGCGGAAAUCACAUCCCAUGUUUACUUCUAGCUACUAACUUUUCUCUCAACUCCUUUUGUAAAAGUCAUUGCAGCAGCAACAACCCCACAUAAAAUUCGAGAGUCUGAUAAAAAAGAUGGUCAAUCACGAACGUAGACUAGCGAUGCAGAAGACGAAGGAUUACAGCUCCUUCUUGAAAUUGAAUGAGGUUAAAAAGUACAUGGCCAACAUGGAAUGGUACAAGAAGGAGUCCAAAGACAUGGGAAUUGGAUACUAUGACAGGUACAGAAACACGCGUUACCCGAGUGACAUUAAUGCCGAUGAGUUCAAGAAGAGGCUGUCAAUUUAUUGGCAUGACACGGUUACUGAAGCUGAGAGCAAACCACAGAAAGAAGGAGGCGCAAUGCGUAUCCGUUUUCUUUAUGGUGGAACGAAUUACAGAAGGAUGAUCGAACCGCUUCACAUUGCUGAGUACUACAGGGAAGGUGGAAAAAAUUACAAAGAGAAAAGGCCUCGACAUUUUGUUCUUUUGGAGCAAUGGUUCAAUGAGGAGGAGAAAAAGAAGAGGGAAAAGAAAGAGAGGGAAGAAAGGGAGAACCCGCAACAGCGCAGCGCAAGCAAGUCCAACCCAAAAGCGAACAGUGUGGCUUCUAGUCUGAAUGAUGAUUCUUGUUUUUGGGUGCACGUCGAGGAAGCACUUAUCUUGUGCGACGAACUAGCGAGUAAUCCACAUGCCAAGCAAAAGCUGAUCGAAUUUGAGUGUUACGUGCUGGAUACGCUCAAGAAUUUCGCAGUGACACCUGAUAUUUUCUUGCCGCAGAGCAGCUUCAUGCGAUGGUGGAACAAGUAUAAAGAGAUUGUGGGAAGUAGCUACUCCUCAGAACUCACAGAAGUCAUGAAGCGUCACACUUAUCGCAGGUAUGCCGAUGGGGUCUCAGUUCUUGCUGGUCUAUAAUCCAAGAUAAUUAAGUUUUAAGCAAUCAAUUAAAUCAGAUAAAGCAAGAUAAGUUUUGCUGUAUUCAUCACGAUCUUCAUAGAGAGAGACGUGCAGUACUUGCAGGACUUGUUGGUGCUACUACGUUUGAAUAUUUUUGUUUGUGGUUUCUUUUUGUUUUGGGCUCUAGCAUCUAGCUCUCUUGUAAGAAAAAUAAUGUGUGGGGGAGUUGUUUCAGUUAUAUUGUUGUAAUUUCCACUUCAUAAAAGUAAUGACGUUUGUUGUAUUUUGAUUUCACUAAGUUUGAGAACUACCCUAAUCAGCAUUUAUAAUAAGUUGAAAUUUACGUUUGUCGUGGUUUACGUUGUAUUACUCUUCAUAUACCUAUCAAGUACAAAAGCAGUAAAUACAUAUUUUAGCCAAGUGACUAAGUGUGGAACUGGGAUUCAAAGCUAAAGUAGAAUUACUUAUGUAUCCCAUAAUGUAUACCUUCUGAUGGCUUUUCACAUAGCACGCAACGUGUGAUUAAGGAACAAAAUGGUAUACACCUCGAGAUAGGUAAGUCCAUCAGCUAGUAAAUUAGCUUGAUGUAAUGUAGUCACGUGACGAGUAAGAACGAAGAAAUGAGUGUACAGCUUGGGACACAGUACAUAUAUAUAGUAAAACUACAUGUAUGUAUGCUUUGGGUGAGGCCGGCCAAGAGGGAUCUCCAUUUUUUUUUCAAAAAAUAGGAAUUAGUUGUGAGACUCACUCCACAUCGAGCUUCAACGGUCUGAACCGUUUAUUUAUUAAGAAGAAAUUAGGUUAUCAUCAUUCCUUUUGCUACUCCAUUAAUUAAAAUCCUAUUUUUUUUCAAUUUUUGAUCAAAGUCCUUGGGUAUUAAUAACAUCAUUAAUUAUUUCAAUAAUAAAAUAUUUUUUUAUUUCUUAAUAUAUUCAUUUAAUGUUAAAAAUGUUACAAUUAGUAUAUUUAUAUUUAUGACUAAAGUUUUUACCAUAUAUUUUUAGUUUUAGUUUGUACCCAUUUUUAAUUUGUAAUUCUUUUUUAAUUUGUACCAAUUUUCUUUUCAGUUUUAAUUUGUACCCAUAUAUUAAUUUCUUUUUGUGCCCAUAUUUUUUUAAAGUUUAUUUGUAUUUGUACCCAUAUAUUUUUUUUAUUUGUACUUUUUAUUUUGCUAAAUGUACCCAUGCUAAUUAUAUGUACCCAUUCAUGUAAAACUUUUUAAUCUUAAAAUGUACUCAUUCUUAAAUAUACCAAUUUGUUAUAUGUAAAAUGUACCUUUUUUAUAUAUAUAAAAUUUAUUCAAUUUUUUUCUAAUCUAUUUUAAACUUAUAUGGGUACAUUCUUUUUUCUUUGAUUUUAAAAUGUAUCCAUGUCAAGUUUAAUCGAAGAAAUUUACUAAUGUUAUUAAGCCUAAUAUCUUUUUUUUUUUUUAUGAUUUUGAAGAAUGUACCCAUGUUUUGAUACAAUAAAUUUUUUGGUUAAUUUUGAUGAAUGUACCCAUGUUUAUAUAUAUACACACACACAAUAGUAUAUUUAUAUUUUAAUAUUUUUAAUCCCACAAAUUAUGGUUUUUUUAUUUAAAAUCUCAUUUAUAUAAACAACUAAAAUUUCUAAUUUUUAAUUUAAAAAAUAUAGUAACAUACAUAGAAAUAAAUUAUCAUAUUAAUUUCAGGGACCUAGAUAAAAAAUUAAAAACUAAUAAGGUUUCAAUCAAAGAAUAUUCAUAAUUAAGGGCCGCAUCCAAAGUCUCCCUUUUUAAAUCUUGAUUUAUAGAUCAUUCUUGCAAAAAUUCAAGUCCGAAACCAUUUGCUAAUUUAAUUAUCACGAUAAAAUUUUAAUGUUUUAUUAGAACAAAACGUUCGUCAGCUCUUUGAACUCAAUUAGAUGCCUUAAAUAUUUUCGAUUUGGCUAAUAUUUUACAAAAUUAAUCUGGCACAUCCUGCCUCCACCAUAGCAAAAUAUUGUUCGCUUUGGGUCAUGCCCUCACGGAUUUGUUCUUGGGCUUCCACCCAAAACGCAUCAUGCUAAGAAGAGAUGAGCAUGUACAUAUAAAGCCAGGGACCAACCUUCACCCAACCGAUGUGGGAUCUUACAACCCACCCCCUUAGGGAGACCGAUAUCCUCGUCGGCACAUCCAAGCAGACGGUGAGUCUGGCUCUGAUUCCAAAUUGUCACAUCUCGCCUUCACCGUAACAAAAUAUUGUCUGCUUUGGGCCACCCUUCAUGGAUUUGUUCUUGGGCUUCCAUCCAAAACGUUUCAUGCUAGGAAGAGACGAGCAUGUACAUAUAAGGCCAAUGACCAACCUUCACCCCACCGAUAUGGGAUCUUACAUAAUCUAUGAAAUGAAACUUAAAAAAAAUACACAAUUCAAAUCUUUAAAAUUUGAUAUGGUGCCUUUCCCUUAAAAUGAGGUAGUGAUUUAGAUAGACCAUGUCAAUUUGCCAUGCCAAAUAUUAGGAAAGUAGAGUGUAGACAUGGGAAGAAAACCCAGCUUAGAUAUGGGACCCACAGGCACAUGCAGUUCUCAUCGAUCUCAAUAAUUUUCAACAAACCUUUAGAGCAAGUCCACCGGAGUGGUUUUUGCCCAGCACCCUGUCCAAAUAACAAGCUGAGGGACAGGGAAUUCACUUCAGCUCGUCGGGCUGCCUGGCACACAACCCAUGCCAGUCAACAAAUUAGCCCAUUUUUGACAGACCCAAGAGCCGGCCUAUUUGGCUGGCGCGUGGACUGCAUGCGCGCUUGGCAGCGAGUAGAAGACAAGCCGGCAGGCGCUGUUAGCCCACUUGUGCUGCAGCAACGUGGCUCGCUUAGAGCCGUUGGAUUUCCAACGGUAACAAAAAUUUAAAUUUUACUUUUAAACUGGACCUUUCGAUCACAGAUCAACGGUCCACGUUUUAUCCCCCUCCCCAAAAAAAGGGUCAAACGGUCAGAUUUAUAGCCGUUGGCCACGUGGCAGAUCAUGGGCUCUUGGAUUUGAAUAUUUUUCAAAUCCAACGGUCCAGAUUAAUUAACUACAUUAAAAUUAAUUAAAAAAAAUUAAAAAGUAUUUUUUUUCUAUAAAUACCUAACCCUCAUCUUCCACCUUACACCACAUUUCAAUAUUUUCUACACUUUCUACACUUUCUAUAAAUACCUAACCCUCAUCUUCCACCUUAGCGGAAAUCUAUUCACAAAAUAGUACGUUCGGAUAAUGACACGUGGCGUGACGAGAUUGGUUAAAAAUCCCAUCCGAAAUAAAACUAUUUUAUUUUUGUAUUCUUUUAGAAAAAAUUUAAAAAUAUUUUAAAUGGGCUGGGUGCCAGCGCAUUUUGUAGGGGUGGAGAUCGUUUGUGCCAGCGCAUUGUUUUAGGGGUGGAGAUGCAUUGGCCUAUUACUGUUCAUUGGAGUAUAUUACUGUUCACUGAAGUGGAUAAAUGGGCUGGGUGCUGGCACAAGGUCCUUAGGGGUGGACUUGCGCUUAUGUUUUGAUUCGAACAGUCUCCCACUUUCGAUUCUUCCAGUCCUACUGCAAUUGUCCUUUCGUGCUUUUUGCUCGGAGGGCAAGGAGCAAUUUUUACUCUUUACUUUAUAAGUUUAACCGCCCAUUAAAAAAAUAAUUUUUUUUUGAAAAUUAAAAUUGGUUUUCAGAAUUUUCUUUUCAAUUUUUGAUUUUCAAACGAAUCUUAUGAUGUUUAUAUGGGCAAAAUACAUUAACGUGUGCAUGAACAAAGAGGAGCACGUCGAAACCGAGAAAAAGUCUAAAUUUUUUUAUGUGGUUCAAUAUCUUAGUGAAUGAAGCGUUAGAUUUCUACCCAUGCAUUCUGGAUUUGAAAUCCUCCCAUUUUUUAAAUUAUUAUAAUAAUUUGAACAUCUCCUAAUAAUAUGGUACGAAUUUAUUGCUACCGUAAUAUUCCAAUCAAACAAAACAAUGACAUGUGUACAUUUUUCAAUACGUGACACUGACAUUGUAUAGUUAAAUUGAUCAAGGUGCUAUGUGGAAGAUGAUCAUCUCCAAAUCCAUUUUGUGGGAAUCCUAGGGAUUCUCACAUCAUAGCCAUUCAUCGUACAUCGUGCUUGUCAAUUUUCGUCGUGUACUAUUUGUGUUUAAUUUUAAAUAAAAAAAGUCAAAUGAUUUCUGACCACACACGAUGAAUGACUAAGAUAUGAGGAUCCUUAGGAUCCGGAUAGAAUCCAAAUCCGUACUACAUGACGAUAAAAUUGUUCUAUAUAAAUUGCUCUCUAAAAUUAGGUCGACAUCGUCCUUUUUUAAGUUGGAUACAACACACAAUUAGCCCUUGGAUUCGAAAAUACAAUUGGAUCGUCGUCAUUUAUACGAUUUAAUGGAACACUAGUCCAAAUUGGAGUGGGGCCCAUUUCCUUUCCAAUAAAAUAGCCACGUUGAUGUUGGACUGUUGGAUUAGCGACGUUGAUGAGCUUUUAGUGCGCUAUUUAGCUUUAACGUUGCAUAUGAUCCAUCACGUGACGAACAAUAUACGCGCCAGAUACAACGUUGUAACUUUUAACCUUUCUCCCCAUUAUCCACCUAAUUAUCUCAGCCUCCAUUUUAUGACAAUUUAAUAUCUACAAUCUUUUGCUAAUAGUUGGGGGGUUUUCUUAACUAAGAUGUUUGUGACUCUCUAAUGUAUACAAAAUUGUACAAGAUUAACCACAACCGUACAAUGAUGACUGAACUCUGAGUUCCCAAAGUGGACCACACUUAGGUGAUUCUGGAGAAAUUUAGGUGCAAUUGUCACACUGUCAAAUAAUGUUAAUCAGGUUUAAUAAUAAAAAAAUUAGUGUUGUCGAACCACAGCUAUACUGGAGGAAGAAAGUCCUCGUUAAAGGAGGGAAAAGUUGAUAUUGGUGUCACGCUCGACCUUGUCGAGGGGGAUGAAGGUGCGGUAGGUUUAAUACUCGAAUUAACCAAAGAGUGAUGUUAUCUGCACACCUUCUUUUAAGUCUCACACACUCCUUGUUAAUUUAUGUCACAUGAUCAUCUUUAAUUCAUUAGAUUCGAUGACCAAUUAUUGAGAGUUGUGUGUGAAAGAUAAAAAGAGGUUAGCAACACCCUUAACUAGAGGUGGUAAAUCAACAUGUUGGGUUGUUAAUGGUUACUCAUUAAGACUCAUUUAGUUUGAUUUCAGCUUACACCAUUAUCACCAUCACAAACCCUACCUCUAUAUUAUGAUGAUAUCAAAUUAAACGAGUCUUAACGGGUACUCAUUAACAACUAAAUGUGUUUAUCUCCACCUUUACACUUGUUGAUGCACAAAAUCGGGUCGAUCUUGGACCAACGUAAAUCCGACCGUGAAUCACAUAAACGCACAAGAACACAAAGAUAUAUCGUGGUUCACCUCAAGUUGAGGCUACGUCCACACUGGUGUUGAUUCCGUUUCACUAUGUAAAUGAAUGUUGAAUAUACAUGGAGGCUAUAGAGGCAGUGUUUACUCUCUUUGCUAUUCUGUUUGCUUUCUCGUUUCCCCUCUGUCUGUUUCCAUUUCUCUUUAAGUGAGUGUGAGGGAGCCAUUUUAUAAAAUAAGGGUUUCCUCCCAUCUUACAUGAAUCAUGGGCUAAGUAAUGAAGCCCAAAUACUGAGACCCAAUAUAUGGUACAACAUAAGUCCCCCAAGUCUUCAGUCAAGAGAGUCUUUUGGCUGGAGACUUCAAAUUCAAUCCAUGUGCAGGCUGAAAUGACUAGAUGUCGUUCAGAACUAGUACUCGACAUAAGACGGUGCUUAACAUGAAGCAAUAAUCAGCUAGAGGUAGCACACGUUGCGAGGCUGCUCGACUAGAGGCAAUGCUCGCGGCGAGGCGGUUGCUUGGCUGGAGGCGGUGCUGGUUACGAGACAGCUCAACUUGUGGCAUUCUUCAUUGCGAGUAUGCACUAAAUGUCAGUGUGUGCUCAUUAUGAGUUAACUUUCGACAUGACUCGGGUCCACUUGUCGAGUUCGCAUAUUGGGUCUAUGUGUCAAGUCCGCGGAUCAGGUCUAUAAGUCGGGUCUUUGAGUCGGGGCCAUCCGUAGGGUCUUUGAGUUGGGUCCGUAAGUCGAGGUUCGAGCUCAAAGGUGUCCAAUCUCGUAAGUGCCCGAAUGAAUGGGUGUCCAAGCACAUAGGUGUCCAAAUGAGCGAGCGUCUGAGCAAGUGGGUGUCUAAACGAGCGAGUGUCUAAGCAAGUGGGUGUCCGGUCAGACAAGAGAUCAUCGUUCGAACUAAAUCUUUGUCACCAUAAGCAUGUGGCUCAUCGAUCUAUAAGUUGAUCAGUAACAAUGUUGAUCAACGGAGUCCUGGCAAUAAAUAAUAGUAUAAGCAUGAAUGCAUAAUUAAUAAAUCAAUCACAGAGUUUGGCAAAAGUAUAAUGUCAUACUAUGCAAAUUGUGUGGUAAAUGACUUGUUUCAUAUGUGACAUAGUUAAUGACAUCACAGUAUCACUAGGCAAUGAAUAAAUAUUGCAUAAGUAAUUGCCUAAAUAUGUAGGUCAUUAGUGAAAUAUGAUAGAAAGCGUACUGAGCAUACGUGACUAUUGUAGCAUGUAAUCUUAAUAUAAUGACAAUGGGAAGACACACAAUAUAUUAUAUAAAUAUAUUUUCAUUCAAAUAAUGAGGAUAUCUAAUUUGGUCAGACCAUGCCACUAGCUAUAGUAAUUGUGGGGUGAUAAAAUAAUAAAAAUAAAGGUAUGUGGUAUAGUGGGUGUAAAGAAUAAAGAGGGUUUUAGGUGGAUUUGAUCAGUAGUCAUGUUGAAAAUAAAUAAAAUAUUUAAAUAAUGAAUUCAGUGUUCAUGAAUGAUUAAAGCUGGCAAGACUAAGGACAAGUGGUCUUGUAAUAAACAUUACAUAAUAAUAUAAAAUAUUAAUAGACAAUGACAUUGAGAAAACAUAAUGAUGGGUUUCUUUCAUGGCCGACAAUAUCAAAGGGGGAUAAUAAUAAAAUUAUUAUAAGCAAGCUUAUCUUUUUCCUGGUUUUCCCGUGGGUUUUUUUCAAUGGGAUAGUGGGUACAUGUCCUCGUGAAGAGCUACAAGGCACAUCAAAGCUUGGAGCUUGAAACCCAUUUGGGAUUUUGAGUUUGUGUAUAAGUAAAAGUGAAGCAGGAAAGCAAGAAGGUGAGCAGAAUGGUGAAGUUGGUGAACUUCGCUAUGGAUCCAACGGCUGAGAAACACUGAGGCUCUAUUUUCUCAUGCAGGUUUAGUUUGUAACAGUGAUGCUUAUGUUCUAAUUUAGCUCUCAAGAUCUGCACAGAAAAUGUAGAGAGAUAGAGAGAGAGAGAUGCGGUGGUGGCUAUGUUUCCAUCGUUGCUGCCGUGAUGGGGAGCUGGAACAGAAGACAUGGGUUUUGCAGUGAUUGUGCAGGUUUUUGGUUCUUAGGUUUCUACAGAUUCACGGUGGAGGUUGUGAGGUUUGAUGAAAAAAUGAAAGAGAACCAACAUAGCUUUUCGUGUCGUUUCCCACAGACGGCGCCAAAUGUUGAUGCACAAAAUCAGUGAGGACUGUGGUACAACAGAAAGUGUUAAGUUUGUGACCUUAGCUAGAUUGCUCCGGUCACUAGUGUGGAUAAGUAUGUAAAUGGAUAGAGACAAGGAAUCAAACUCAAGAUGUACGUGGUUCAUCCAGAUUCGCUACGUCCACGAAGUAUAUGAGUUCUCUUUAAUUGUGAAAGAUUUACACAAGUACAUAGGUUCAAGCUCUCAUUUAGUGAGUACUAGUGAAUGAUUUAGUACAAAUGACAUUAGGGAUUAUUAUGGGAGAAUGAUCUCCUUUUAUAGAAGAGAGUUUCUAGUUUUGUUCUGGCCUUGACACAUGUCAUGCUAUGAUUGGCCUUUGAUGUUGACACGUGUCGUCCUGUGAUUGGCCUCUUGGUGUUGACACGUGUUACGCUGUGAUUGGCCUCCUAGUUUGAGGGAAACUCUUCUGGGUCCUUGAUGGUAUAACGUUGACCAGUGCUUGGUAGUUUCGAGAUUGAUCAAGUAUGGUACAAACAACACUUAACCAAAUAAUGACGAAAGGUUGACAUUUCAUAUCGUCUUCUUUCAUAAGCUUGAUAGUCAUAAAAUAGAAAUAAGGAUCCUCUUCGAAUUAUCUUUGUGAGGAUCCCGAGGAUUCAUGAACUGUGUCCAUUCAUCGUACAUCGUGCAAUCAGAAAUCAUUUUAAAUUUUAUUAUUUAAAAUUGAACACAAACAGUAUUUAACAAAAACUGGCCGCAAGAUGUACGAUGAACGAACACGAUUCACAAAUUUUAGAAAUCCUCAUGAAGAGGCUUCAGAUUCAUAAAAUAUUGUAUAGAUAUGUGUUAGACCAAAAGCGAGGUAAUUACACUACACGACAAUGUGACAUUCAAAUUGAAAAAAUACUCAUUACUCUCAAGUCUAAAGAACACUUAGCUACACUCAAUCUGUAUCGUGACAUGGAUAAUGUUUUUCACACCUAUUUUUACUUUCUACAUACCUUGGUUAAGUUUUGGUCAUUGAUUUUUUUUUUCAAUUCAUAACAGAAAAUUAAGAAUGAUGGGUGAAAAGUAAAAAUAAAUAUGUGAAUAGCACUACCAUGUGACAAUCCUGAAAUUAAACUUUUCCACAUUGCAAUGCAUAAUUAGUCUUUUUAUGCAGUUAGAUAACUUUAGGGUUUACGUGUGAUUAAUUGAACUAUAACAUGAGGUGAUAAUGAAUUACUUAUCCACUUAACUCGUCAAUUAUACAACUAAUUUAAUACUUUACUUAAAUGCAAGUGACGUCUACAGUACUAGGCUCGGUCAAUGUAUGAUUGACUUUAUACAAUGUCACAGUCAUAGUGGUAUUGAAGGAAUUCGGAUCCUCACCGGAUUUUCUUUGUAAGGAGCUUGAAGAUCUGUGAAUCAUAUCCAUUCAUUGUAUAUCGUGCGGUCAUAAAUUAUUUUAAAUAUUUUUAUUUAAAAUUAAAUACAAACAGUAUCUGACAAAAACUAACUGCACAAUGUACGAUUAACGGACACGAUUUACAGAUUUCCAUUAACCUUACCGAAAUGAUCCGGAGAUGGACUCAGAUCCUCUCCGGAUCAUUUCCGUGGGGAUCCUUCUGACCUAUUAAUCUCAUCCGUUGAUACUAAUCCAACGGCCAAAUGAGUUUCGCGUCUUUUCUCUCUUUUCUCCCUUACGCUCUUCCCCUCAACCCUUCAUUCUCCCUCAAUUCGAAGCACCCGACCCGCUGCCACCAUGUUACGAACUGGAUUUGAACCAGCAUCCCAAAAUUCCCCGGAAAACUUCCAUUUAUAUUCUGAUCGUGACUAUGGUCUUCCAACCCAGCAACCCCCAACCUCCCCUGCUGCAAAUUGAAUAAAGUCCGAAUUCAAAGGACCUACAAAAAUAUCACUAAACGUACUGCAAAAAUUAAAGAUUCAGAGAUAAGAAAUACAAAAGUUAACAAGGAAUUUAAUUGGGGUGGGCUGGGGCUGAAGAAGAUUGAGAAGAUGCUGGUGUGGCGUUGGUGGGUGCUUCUAAGUGAGAGGAGAAAGAUGAAGAGUCGAGGGAAGAGAGAGAGAAAGAGGUGAAAAUAAUUUGGCCGUUGGAUUUGUCCCAACGGUUGAUAUCAAUCGGUCAAGAGGAUCCUUACGGAAAUGAUCCGGAGAGGAUCUGAGUCCUCCGGAGAUGACCAAGUUGGGUAUUGAAGGGCAGAAAAGUCGUCCUCACCCGCUCCAUAAAGUAGGGGUAUUUCCGUCAUUCCAUGUGCCUUGAUCCGAAGUUCAACCCAAAAUUUAAGUGGGCCGUCGAUUACUCCUAAGCACGAUUCCCGUGAUUGACGGUGGAUAGAGUGCCGCGUGGUUACUCCCUUCCCCACUCUGUCUACCCCCGGUAAAUCCAUCUCUUCUACGAGGGCACGAGACCUCACUCUCUAUUUCUCUCUCUCUGUCUUUCCUCCUCUGAGCUUCCAAAAUGCUCAUUUCUUCCUUCCGGCUACCGCCCGCCAGCUGAAGCAGUUGCAGAAGCAGCAGCAGCCACAGAGAGAAGCUGAGCAUGGCGGCAUUCCUCAUUGUCCUCCUCACAUCUCUCUACUAGCUCUCACCACCCUCCCCGGCGCCGAAUCCCGACUCUACACCAACUACUACCAAAAAUCGUGCUCGAGAUUCGCUCAAAUCGUCCAAGACACCGUCACAAAUAAGCAGAUCAUGAAUCCUACCACCGCCGCCGCCAUUCUCCGCCUCUUCUUCCACGACUGCCUCGCCAACGGCUGCGAGGCCUCCAUCCUCCUCUCCUCCACCCCCUUCAACAAGGCGAUGGAGAAGCUCGGCGUGUUAGGGAUUCAGACCGGAAGGCGGAGAGAGAUUAGGCACAGGUGUCGAUAUCAACCUCUCAAAGAACAGAGAAGCAGGAACUACUCGCUGUGCACCAGUUCAUAAAUUGGUCCAUCGCUGGUAUGCGUUUUAACUCUUCCCUAUUAGGUUAAUAUUUAUACUUCCAUUAUUUUCAGCAAAUGGUCUCUUGUCCCGGCUUACUUCCAUAUUUCUCGGUUUUGCUCCCACAUUUCUUGGAUUCCUGGGAUUGUAGGGAUCCCAAAAUCGUAACCGUUCAUCCUAUAUCUUCGGUUAAAUUUCGUUAAGUACUAUUUAUAUUUAAUUUUAAAUUUUAACGGUGCACUGGCCCUUGUACUCAUCUCGUGGGUACUAGUUGAAAACACACUUAUUUACUCAAGUAAGGUGAAAAGGUUGUCAAGUUCCUUUAGCGAUAUGGAGGAUAACGUCAUACUUGAUGGUAGAUACUCUCGGAUGUCUUUUGUGGCUUUAGAUGGUUUUAUUCAACGUUGCUUUCUUUGGAACGGGAAACUUUGCGAGUAUUGCAAGUUUUGGGAUUUCAUCAGUGUAUCGGUUCAUUACCGUCUUCAGUGUAAGUGAAGGUUGAACUUUCCUGGGCAUUAACGCUGCUAAGGCACACCUCUUGCGGUCUUCUGCAAUUUUUUGCCCUUUAUUCCUGCAACUGCUGAUUGCUCGUACAAAGUUCGAUUGAAAUUUAAUGAGAGUCAGAGCAAUGGGAUUUUCCAAGUGUUCCCCAAAGAUCUCACAACGUUCGAUUGAAAUUUUGGCACUCUUCUCACAUCUCUUGAUUAGUUGAUACGAUUUAACCAGUUAUCCCAUUUAGUUAUUCAUUGAUCGAUUUUGUAACUACAUUUAACCAGUACAUACUCCACUUUUGGCUGUCUGAAAUAUUUGAUUGGUCGUAGAUUAAAUGUUACUAUCUUCCAUCUCGAAACAAUAAAAGUUGGCCCUAUAUUGGGACAAAUUAUUGGCUGCGAACGACCAGACUACAUGGUUGUUUAAGAGCAUCUUUAACCGGAGUCCCAGCACUAUUUUUGAAGAAUCAUUUACGAACUUAAAGGGAAUAUACUUGUUCCCAAAAGAAAAUUAGUUCCAAUGGAGUGUCUUAUAGUAUAAUCUUUAAAUUUAGAUACUACGAAUUAAAAAAUCAUUGUUAAUUUCACAAUGAGAAACCUAAAAUAACUUUCACAACCGUUGUUUUCUCAUCAAACCAAAGAGAAAAGUAACGGGACCUGCCCCAUUGGAAGCUGCACAGUAUUUUAGAGUUCCAUCACGUGCUCACGUGCUAGGGACUUUCCCCGAAGAAAGAUGGUAAUCUACUAUAAAACCAAGAGUAAUGUUAUCUACAUACUUAUUUUACUUUUAAUACAUCCAUAUACAAUCCUUAAUUGUAAGGUAAUUUUGGCGGUCUCCGGGCAGUCCCUAUAUUAUAGGGAUUGGAGUUCCGAUCCACCGGAAGUCACCAAGUUCUUAACUUUAAGGAUAUAUGGUGGUAAGAACAAGUAUAGGAACAAACAUUGAAGAUGCUCUAAUUGCACGCACAAAACACCCAUUCUUGCCGAUGGUCCCACCCUGCGCCCCUUGCGCGCGUGCGAGCUUCCGAACUCAAGGAUUGCCCCUUGUAAUUGUAAAAGCAAAGAAUAGAAAAAGACGACCAUAUUGUACUGCUGGUAGGUGAACUGGGAAAGAAACAGAACGGUCGACGGCCAUACCCGAGCCCUCAGAUUCACUAGUUAGAUUACUUUGUAAAUUUCUUUGCAUCCUUCCGGAACGUUCAGUCGUUAAAAUCAGCAAUGUAUUAACCUGCUCCAAAUAUUCAUUGCAGGGAGCAAGAGGGAAUAAAUAAUGCAAGUGGGAAUAAUUAACCUGAAUUUUAACACGUAAACGUACAAAAGAAGACAAGGAAAAGCUUCGAGGUCUAGGGCCCUCCCUUUUUCUCCGAGAAACUUUCAGGAAUAAGUUGCGUGGACGACGACCUAGACUUUGCUGUGCAUCGUCGACUUGGGGGGAAGCUUCGUCGUGCGGCCUUUUGAUUGGUGAGACAAAGACGUCCAUAAUAUUUAAUAACGAUAGGAUUGAUUCGUAUUCUAUAUAAAGAGAGAUAUAUUGACCAUUCCGGUAUCCUCUUCUCUCCAUCUACUGUGUGUUUUAAGCAGAUCGGCAAAAGCUUGAAGAUGAACGACCGGUAAGUCAACUUCGACUUCAAACUUCUCCGAUCCUUGUUUUUCUUUGAAUCCUUUGCCAUGAUUUUUCUUGUGUUGUCUUGAUUGAGCGGAAAAUGGUCUGGAAUGGCUAAAAGUGUGUUUUUCAACUAUCAAAAGUUCUUAUGGUUGAAUCUGGCAAAAAAAACUUGCAAAACGCUUUUAGAUAGACGGUAUAAGCUCUUUUCGGAGAAGCAUGUGCUAUGUCCGCCCUCUACAAGCACUUCUAUAUUUUCAAGUGCUUUUUCGAAUAGCACUUGAGUAUUUAAUAAACAUUUCUAUAUGUUCAUAGUAAAAGAUAAGUGCUUAUGAGUAAAGUGAAUCUUACGAAAUACAUUAGCUUAAUAAUCGUCCUUAUAGUUUACCAAAUUGCAAUUUCAUUCUUACAAGUAUUUUGCUAAAGUGGCUUCGUUAGAAAUAGGUAGUAUUAUCUACGCAUUUAUUUUUACUUGUCAUACACGAGAGAGGAUCCUCGCCGGAUCCUCUUUGUGAGGAUUACGGGAAUCCUUCAAUCACAUCCGUUCAUCGUACAUCAUGCGGUCAGUUUUUGUUAGACGCAAAAGUUUCAACAGAAGUUUCAAGCAUGUUUGUUAUUAUAGUUGGAUGCUAUUUGCUUACACCCUCGAUUUAACUUUGCUUCAAUUUUUUGUUGGUGAUGACAGAAUUAGCAGUGCUGGGCUUGAACUAGCAAAUGUGCUGGUGACUUCUCCUCCCCUGCAGCAGUCAUGGGACGCGGUUCUUGAUCAGAUGCAAAAGCUCCCCCCAGCAGCUGAUCCGAACCAAAAAAUGGCCUUAGACAUUAAUGAAACCAAGCACUCAAACACCGCCAUCAUAUCUUUUCUUACUUCACCCGUCACGCUUCACGAUCAACAAACGAUGGUUUCAUCGUUGACUCUCAAGAAUGCAGAUUUUUCUCUCUUUGAGUUUUUGUGCGGCAAAAACAUCCCAAGUUUCUCCGUCAAUGAAUUGGCAAUCAAUUUCUUCAAAUUGAACCUGAAAAACCUCGAUAUUUGGCGAAAAAAGGUGCGUAUUAUUGUCUCUCUGGUAACUGAUAAUGUUUAAUCGUUUUGACAACUCUUAAUAGUGAGAAACAGUUAAAAAAUCAUAAUUAUAUUGCUAGAUUACUUUUCACUUAAUUAGUUUGGAUUCUUUGACAAACUGUUAAUGUUAACGAAAAACGCUUACAAAACCGAGUUUAAGUGUUUUUUCUUUUACUAUGAAAGAAGUUUGAGGAACUUAUUUGUAAAGACUUCUCCGAAUUGAUUAUAUAGAAAUUCAGUAAUUGACUAACUUUUAUGUAAUAUUUCAGCUGGUAGAAAUGUUAGAAAGCAGCAAAUCCUCACGGAUAGUUAUCACUGGACAUUCUUGGAGGUGCUGUGGCUACCCUUUUCACCUUAUGGCUGCUACAAAGCCUUGACUUGUUGAAAGCGAAACGCCUCCUUUGCAUCACUUUCGGUUCACCCUUGAUCGGUGACGAACAACUCCGACAAUGUGUGUUGGAAUUCUCAACAUGGAGUUCUUGCUUCUUGAAUGUAGCCUCCAUCAAUGAUCCUGUACCUAAAGUCUUCCUAACUUCGCAAGGGAGUGGUUAUAAGCCUUUCGGAACAUUCCUACUGUGCUCCUCUUCGGGUGGUUCUUGCAUUGAGGACGCUGAUGCCAUUUUGCAACUAUUGGUGGAAACCAGCUCUCAGUGUGUUCAAAAUCCAGUUCCGAAUUCAGGGACUCAGUUGUUUGAUUACGGAAAGAUUUUGAAUGAUCUCAAGACUAAGGCAUUGUCUAGAGAUGUCUUUGAGUUGGUUGAAGAGGAUAGAGUUCCACUUAAAGCUGGAAUUAAAACACAGUUGGCAGCAAUAUUAGGAGUUCUCAGCUCACAGGUAUCAAACUUUCAACACAAAUAUCUAAUUUGAUGAUGAUUUAGGGAAAUGGUUUCCGCACAAACCUGUUUAUUUCCAUCUCUUGAUUCUUCUUUGAUUUAUUUAAUCCAAAGACUGGAAAUAAACACGGGUGUGCAAGGAGAGAAUAUGAGUUUGCGGAAAUCACAUCCCACGUUUACUUCUAGUUACUAACUUUUCUCUCAACUCCUUUUGUAAAAGUCAUUGCAGCAGCAACAACCCAACAUAGAAUUCGAGAGUCUGGUGAAAAAGAUGGUCGCUCACGAACGUAAACUAGCGGUCCAGAAGACGAUGGUUUACAGUUCUUUCCUGAAAUUGAAUGAGAAUAAAAAGUACAUGGCCAACAUGGAAUGGUACAAGAAGGAGUCCAAAGACAUGGAAAUUGGAUACUAUGACAGGUACAGAAACAAGCGUUACCGGAGUGACGUUAUUGCCGAAGAGUUCACGAAGAAGCUCUCAAUUUAUUGGCAUGACACGGUUACAGAAGCUGAAAGCAAGCCCCAGAAAGAAGGAGCCACAAUGCGUAUCCGUUUUCUUUAUGGUGGAACGAAUUACAGAAGGAUGAUCGAACCGCUUCACAUUGCUGAGUACUACAAGGAAGGUGGAAAAAAUUACAAAGAGAAAAGGCCUCGACAUUUCGUUCUUUUGGAGCAAUGGUUCGAUGAAGAGGAGAAAAAGAAGAAGGAAAAGAGAGAGAGGGAAGAAAGGGAGAACCCGCAACCACGCAGCGCAAGCAAGUCCAACUCAAAAGCGACGAGUGUGGCUACAAGUCUGAAUGAUGAUUCUUGUUUUUGGGUGCACGUCGAGGAAGCGCUUAUCUUGUGCAACGAACUAGCGAGGAAUCCAGAUGGCAGGCAAAAGCUGAUCGAAUUUGAGCGUUACGUGCUGGAUACGCUCAAGAAUUUCGCAGUGACACCUGAUAUUUUCUUGCCGCAAAGCAGCUUCAUGCAAUGGUGGAACAAGUAUAAAGAUAUUGUGGGAAGUAGCUACUCCUCGGAACUCACAGACGUCAUGAGGCGUCGCACUUAUCGCAAUUAUGCAGAUGGGGUCUCGGUUCUUGCUGGUCUAUAAGCCAAGAUAAUUAAGUUUUAAGCAAGCAAUUAAAUCAGAUAAAGCAAGAUUAGUUUUGCUGUAUCGCUCAUGAUCUUCACAGAGAGACGGGCAGUACUUGUUGGUGCUACUACGUUUCAAUAUUUUUGUUUGUGGUUUCUUUUUGUUUUGGGCUCGAGCAUCUAUAAGAAAAAUAAUGUGUGGGGGUAUUGUUUCAAUUAUAAUGUUGUAAUUUCCACUUCAUAAAAGUAAUGACGCUCGUUGUAUUUUGAUUUUACUAAGUGUGAUAAGUACUACCUAAUUAGUAUUUGUAAUAAAGUGAGACUUACUUUUGUCGUGGUUUGUGUUGUAUUAAUCUUCAUAUGAACCUAUAAAGUACAAAAGCUUAAUCUUGUAAAUACAUAUUCUAGCAAUGUGAAGAGUGGAAUUAGGAUUCAAUGCUAAAGCAAAAUACUUACGUAUCCCAUUGUGUAUACCCUUCUAGUGCGUUUUCACACAGCACGCAACGUAUGAUAAGGGUGCGUUUGGUACGUGGGACGGGACGGGACGGAACGGGACGAGGCGUUCCGUCCCGCGUUUAGUGCGCCAAAAAUGGAUGGAACGGGCUGUUCCACGGGACAGGUUUUGGGUGUUUUUGCGUUCCACCUCCCCCCUGGAACGGGUUUGUUCCACGUCUGUGGAACACAAUGUUUUACCAUUUUAAGACAAAUAUACCCCAUGUCUUUUUCAAAAAUGACACCUUCGUUCCGUCCUGUCCCGUCCCGUCCCGUCCCGUUCCGUCCCGUCCCGUCCCGUCCCGUCCCGUCCCGUCUGCGUACCAAACGCACCCUAAAGGAACAAAAAGGUAUACACCUCGAGACAAGUAAGUCCCAUGUGCUAGUAAAUUAGCUUGGAUGUAUGGCUGGUUUGGUAUUGCUGUGCUUUGAAAAAAAGCUGCUAUAAGAAUAAGCGGCUGUGAAAUAAAUCAGCAGAGCGUUUGGUAAACUUUUUUGUAAAAGUGCUUUUGAAAAAAAAAGCAGUUUGAUAGUUGGUCUUUUCAUUAAAGGAGCACUGUAGUUCCGUGUGCUUUGAAAAAAAGCCAGUUUUCCAAAGCUGCAAAUAGCAGCUUCAGCUUUUUCUUUUGAUUUCAGCUUAUUCUCACAGCAGCUUCCAAAAUAAGCCAUUUUUUUUCAGUUUACCAAACACCUAAAACCCUCACAACUUUUUUUCAUAGGUGCUUUUUUUUAAGCACCUCACUCCCAAACUAGGUCGUAAUGUAGUCACGGGAAGCGUAAGAAACAAAGAAAGGAGUGUACAGCCUGGGACAAAGCACAUAUAUAUUUUACAACUACAUGUAUGUACUCUAUGGGUGAGGCAUGGCCUAAGGGGAAGGAUCUCCAUUUUUUUUCAAAAAAUAGGAAUUAGUUGUGAGACUCACUCCACAUCGAACUUCAACGAUCCGAAUCAUCUAUUUUGUAAAUUUUGAUUCAUAGAUCAUUCUUACAAAAAUUCAAGUCCGAAACUAAUUAUCACGAUAAAAUUUGAAUGUUUUAUUAGAACAAAAUGUUCGUCAAUUUUUUUGAAUUCAAUUAUAUGCCUGUUUGGAUCCAAAUUUACACCAUUGGCCCAUGCAAUCAAGGCCUUUGAGUGAGCAUAGCUCCCAACCAUCGGAUGGAAAAGUGAAGAUAAUUUUGUUAUUGUUGAAGGAUAAUAUUAUGAUUUUUAUCAUAAUAAUUAUCUUUUAAUAUGGAUUAUCUGCAUCUUCUUAAACCAGAUAAAUAGGAUGCGAAUUAUAUCCUAAGCAAGCAGUACAGUUCGAAUUGAUUUGGGAUGUUUGACGACACUUGGAAGCUAAAAAUGAAUUUGAAAUUCAUUUGAUCAGGAUGCAUGCAUGGAUGGGUUUAAAGGUGAUGGAAUUAUAUGAUGUGAUAAGCCUAGGAUUUGAUGGUCUUGGAUAAUGAUGAGAUAAGAAACUUAGGUAGGCUAGGCCUUUUUUUGCAUGGUGAUGGGCGUUGUCAUAUGAGUUUGGAGUGAUAAGAAUUGAUGAUGUGAGCACAGUAUGAUUGUCGUGUGAAAGGGCACUUCGAGAUUUCAAAGGGACACCUGUUGUUCCUCUUGUAAAAGUCCACAAGCAUAAGAAGACUAGGGAGAUUUUUGCCGAAAUAUAUUAAAGAUAAUAUCAGUUAUUGUUUUUUAGAGUAUAUUCGGAAAGAGAGAUUAUAUUCACACACCUCAAAUUACUUCUCCCACACCUUUUUAUUUUUUUAAUAUUUUCUACACACCACUAACACUUGAUAAAAAAAUAUUAAAAAAUUAAAAGGGUGUGGGAGAAGUAAUUUGAGGUGUGUGAAUAUAAUCUCCCAUUCGGAAAAGGCCUCUAUUGGAUUGGCGAUCAAGAAGACUUGCUAUAAAUACAGAGGCAGUGGCAACAUGAAAAGUCCUCAUCCAAUUCAACACACAAACUGCCAUGUACAAACUCUUGCUUUACGUGAAACCUUUCAACAACCUUGAGAUUUUAUUUUCUUUUUCCCGCUGACACAUCUUAAAUUUUAAUAAACAGCAUUGUGAAGGCAACCGGUGAACAUCUUCAGUUUGGAUAAACAGCACUGUGCCAUAGAACCAUUCGACCGCGAAGCACCUUCAGUUUGGAUAAACAGCAUUGCUCCGAGACCGACUGGUUACCUAUCCAAGUCUCGGUCAAGAAGGAUUUUCGAGUCCUUAUUGGCAGAUGUCAUCUCAUCAGCCUUCUCGACGAAGUGAGAUGUUACCAAGUUACUACAUUUAGCACCCUGAGAGCCGAAUUUGAUAUUGAACUUCGCAGAACUAGCAGCCCUUCAGGCUCUAGAACCCGAAGGCCGAGACGUGUUCCUUUCUCGGCCACAGUCGUGAGAUUUAGAAGUCAACAACACGCCCAACGCAACAUCAACUCAUUUUACUCACCGGUCGAGCUCGGCCGUCGAGUUGGCACGCCCUACACACAACCGAAGAACGUAGUUAGCUUUUUAAUUGUUCGGCCUGUGCGCCACGUAGGCUUGAUAGUUUUUAGGUUGGAGAAAUUAGGUUCACAUCCUUCUUUUUGCUACUCCAUUGAUUAAAAUCCUAUUCAUUUUCAAUUUUUGAUCAAGGUCAUUGGGUAUUAAUAACAUCAUUAAUCAUUUGAAUAAUAAAAUAUUUUUAUUUUUAAAUAUAUUCCUUUAGUGUUAAAAAUGUUAAAAUUAGUAUAUUUAUGUUUAUGGCUAAAUUUUUUAUCAUAUAUUUUUAUUUUUAGUUUGUACCUCUUUUUAAUUUGUACCCAAUUUUCUUUUCAUUUUUAAUUUGUACCCAUAUAUUAGUUUCUUUAUGUGCCCAUAUUUUUUUAAAGUUUUAUUUGUAUUUGUACCCAUGUCUAUAACGUCACGUGACAUUGUAUAUUUAAUCAAUUAUAGAAAAACUACAUAUGGUAUAUUUAUGUUUUAUGCCUAAACUUUGUAUCAUAUAUUUAUAUUUUUAGUUUGUACCCACUUUUAAUUUGCAACAUUUUUUUAAAUUUGUAGUAUUUUCUUUUUAGUUUUAUUUUGUACCCAUGUAUUAAUUUCUUUUAGUGCCUAUAUUAUUUAAAAAUUCAUUUGUACUCGUAAUUUUUUAAUCUUUUAUAUGUACCCUAAUUUAUUUAUAAUGUACCCAUUCUUCUUUAUUAAUGUACCACUUUGUUAUAUGUGAAAUGUACCAAUUUUUUUAACAUUAUGGAUACAUUCUUUUGCCAUUUAUUAUUUCUUAUUUUUACAUAGUUUUUAUCCAUUUAUUCAAGGGAGUUUUAACGAAAAGCCCACGGUACUGUUCACUUUAACGAAAAACCACAUUUUUACACUAAAAAGUCAAACCUGCUACUAUUCACUUUAGCCUUUAUUUUGUCCUUAUCGUUAAAACUCAAAGUUUUUAAGCCCUUUUCAUUAAUUUUCCUUUUAUUUUCAAUCAAAAUGUUUGAAUUUUUUUAUUGUAACUGUUUCUAAUAGUAUUAUAAUGAGGGAUUUUAAAUUUAUAGGAUUAUAAAUCUCAUAAAAUAUCAAACAAUUAAUGUCAAAACUAUAAAAAUAUAAAUAUUAAUUGUAAUAUAAUGAGGUGUACAAAAUCAAAGGACUUUGAUCAAACUUUGAAUACCAUUAUGGUUUUAGUCAAAGAAUAUUAAGGAUUAGAGACUACAUCCAAAGUAUCCCUUUUAGGUUCAAUAAUGCCUUAAAUAUUUUUUAAGGAAAACUAAUAAAAAAGGCUUGAAAACUUUGAGUUUUAAUGAUAAGGACAAAAUAAAGGGUAAAGUGAAUAGUACCAGGAUUGACUUUUUAGUGUAAAAAUAUGAUUUUUCGUUAAAGUGAACAGUACCAAAUGCUUUUCGUUAAAGUUCCCUAUUUUUUAUUUGACUAAUAUUUUACAAAAUUAAUCAAUGAAAAGCAACUUCAAAAAUACACGAUUCAAAUCGUUAAAAUUUAAUGUGGUGCCCUUCCCUUAAAAUGACGUGGUGAUUUAGAUAGACACUAGAAAUUAGGCUCGUGCGUUGCCACAGGAACCAACUUUUUCAGACGUAAUCGAAUGAAUAAAUUCAACACAAUUAUGAACAAACAAAGGGAUACAUAAGUGAAUGAAAUCGAUAAAAUAAGCAAUUUUGCUUUUAUAUACAUUCAAGUGAGUUGACAUAUAAACACAUUGUACAAUGAGUGGGAAGAAACUGAACGUCUUUGAUUAGAAAGAGAUGGUUUCAAAAAAAGUUCUGUUUCCUUAAGAAACAAAAGAAACAUUUAGUUCACAUAUAUAAUGUGUCAUGCAGUGUAGACGGCCAUUUCAACAGAUAAUUAAAAAUAGAGAGUGUUGAGGACUUGUUCAAGUAGUUAAUUUUGUAACCACAACUUUUCAAAGGCAAAAAUAAGCAGAAGGUUUGUUUCCAUACCAAACUGAAGAAACAGAUGCAAGCUACAGUUUACACAUAUUUUGCCCCUGCAGUUAAGACAGCAAAAUAUAUGCCCUGCAAUCUACGUACCUCACUUGUGCAACAUAUGCCUUACACUGGAAAAACAUCAAAAAUUGAAUACAAAUUUGUAAAUCAUGGACAGAUUUUGUUUUACAUUUUUAUAAUCAAAUCAAACGGCAAUGUAGCACGUAAAAUUACAAACUUGAAGCAACCAGAGAGCAAAAAUUAAGAUGUAGAGAUAUCCUCAAACUUGCAACAUAUUGUAUGGAAGCUAACCGUAGAGGUUUGUGAAGCAAACUGCGGCAUGAGUUGCAGUCAAUUGAACAAAAAUAUAGUAGUUCAACUAAAAAAUGCAUAUAAACACAUUUAAGUUAAAUAAAUUCAACACAAUUAUGAAAGGAUACAUGAGUGAAUGAGAUCGAUAAGAUAAGCAGUUUUGCUUUUAUAUACAUUCAAGUGAGCUAGCAUACAAACACAUUGUACAAUGAGUGGGAAGAAACUGAACGUCUUUGAUUAGAAAUAUAUGGUUUCCAAAAUAGUUUUGUUUCCUUAAAAAACAGAAGAAACAUGUAGUUCACACAAAUGUGUCCUGUAGUGUAGGCAACCAUUUCAAUAGGUAAUGCCAAGAAAAGGAAUUAAAAUAUUAGGCAUAUAAAUGCAAGCUUACAGAAACUUUGUUUUUGUACACUUUCUUCUCCCUUGAAUGACAGUUUGUUUCUUAUCUAGAAAAAUAAAAUGAGCAGGUCAAUGAUACUCACAUGUGCAAAAUGCUAAUCCUAUGGUCUAAAGCUAACUGAGUUUUUAAAUGUAAAAUCUCUAAUUUCACUGCAUUUGGAUUGAUCACAGUUCGUGACUUGUUAAACUUGAUAUCUCCUUGUACAUUUUGGGAACUUGACGGCUUAAAGAAGUGCUCAUAAAAGCAAAUUACACAAUAUCUACUAAAAAACUUAGAGAAGGGACUCAAUUAGUCAACAACCAGGUGCCUCACACUUAAAUAUUAAAGACCAAAGGGAGAAAACGAAGCCAAACUCUUAAAAAUUCGUUGGCACACAUGCUUCAUUGGCUCAAUUGAAUGUAUAAUACAAUAAUUCGAACAAUAGCUCAGAAACAGUGCUAAAAUUCCAUUAGCACUAAUCACACACUGUUGGAACAGAGAUCCUAGCAAAGCUACACCAAUUAAAUGACAGACUAAAAACCACAAACAGGAAAAAAGGAAAAACAGAGUUAUCAGACAGCAUGAUUCAAAUAUAAUUUUAUUAGGGUUUGUAAAAGCACAACUCAUCCAGCACUUCGAACACACCGUGGGAUUUAAAGACCAUAGAGUAACAUGUUGGAUUCAUCAUUUUUUGAGAAGAGACAAACCUUUCAUUUAAGCUAACACAAAUUACAUAUCAAAGGAUAAGGAGUACGCUCUAAGAACAGACGGAAAUAAAACAAACACAUAACAGACAUAACUAUCAUACCAAGAAGCCCCCAGACACUUACUAUUGGCUUUGAUAUCAGUUUUACAAUCUGCCUUUGAUAUCAAUUCCACAAUUGGGAAUUGAUAUCAAUCUUAAACCCCACAGGCUAUUCAUGUUUGAGAAGGCAUCAGACAUGCCCGUCAAAAUCAUUACCAAGCUUAGAUACUUUCAGAGUACGUGAAGUGGGGUCACUUACAUUCUGUAUCAAAAAACCUGACAGACGCCAAUGAAAUUUUAAUAGCGGAAUUGAACCUAAUUCAUUAACUGUGGUUCGUGCAUGGUCAUGAUGAUAUGAGGUGAAUCGCUCUCUAAAAUCAGAUCUCGAAGAACCCUAACAGAAGCCAACACCUUGGAUGAAUGAAUCACAUUUAAGUUGAAUAAAUUCAACACAAUGCAUAAAUUGCCUUAAGAUCUGCUAAACUGAAGUAACAAAAUGACAAAACUAUACAAAUUACAGACCAGAAACAAAGCUAUAGCUGACUGACCUUAUGCCAAAUCCCUCGAGCUCUUUUUCAAUUAGACGCUUGUGAGUUAUUGGCUUUAUUGCAUCAUGAACAAUUAAAAUGCAAUUGCAUGUCCUAGCAGUGCUGAUAACCAAAAUAUUGUUAGGACAACAAACGGUAUCAAAGUUUUCAUCUGAAGCUAUUUUGACUUUAUGCACACUGAGAUGAAGAACCAAUAUAUAUUAAUUAUACCUUUGGGAUAUUUGGGUGGUCAAGCUUAUGCCAAACAUCAACCUCUUGCUGAAACGACGCCCGAAGAGCAGCAGUUUCGGCUAUCCUCCCCCCAAUCCAAUAUCUUUAAUUUUUCACUAUAAUAUCAAGAAUACAUAAAGCCAUGAGAACAAUAUUGAUAAGAAAAAUACAGGAUAACCUACGGUUAGGGGUUCAUUAUUCAAUCAAAUAACACCGUUUUCUUACACUCAAUAAAAAAAUUUAUGUAUUUCUAAAUUUGUACAUGCAGUCACAUGUAUUCUUUUUCUCCAAUGAAAUAAACCCCCCCCCCCCGGAGUCUAAUAACGAUGAAAGUGAUUGACCCCAAGAACCCCAAACAUGCCAGUCCUAAGAACACAAAGCAUAUAAACAGUUAACCACACACUUAAGCACAUUUGCGUCUGCACAGUGGCCAUUUAUUAGGUCAUAAUACACAUGAGUAAACCCUAAAACACAAAAAUCAAAGUUACAAACUUUCAAUACAAACCAAUCGAGAAUGAAUUUAUACCACACAUUCUGGCAUAAAAGAAAAGAAAAAUCAAUACUAAUAUUUGACUGCAAGCAGAUCUUGUGGGACUACUACAAAUAAUAUAAACCAGUAGAUUUCCGUAAUAAAAUAUAACCACAGAUGAAUGAAGGGCUAUUAACUUAAUAUUUAGAAAUAACCGUCAGUCCCUAGCUAUUAUGCAUGCCACUAAUGAAAGGAGGGAUCACCAUUUAUUAAGGUACCUGGAAUUCACCAAUACCAGGAUAUUUCCAACCAUGCUGUUCAGGAUAAGAAGGAUAUUGUAGCUCUCCACACGGACCUAAUCCAACUUCAAUUUCUGAUAUUAUUCCUUCCUCAAAAAACUCAUCAAAUUCAACUCUGAAGCUCCUCAAGUGGUCGAAGUAAACCUGCAUUGGUUCCAUUAUAAUAUAACAAAAUAGAAACUCUCAGCAUUAAACAAUAAGAAUGCAUAGGGUCUGAUUCUUAGAGCAUACAAAUUCUUAGAAAUAUAGAACAUAUAAGUUGGAAUAGGUUUAGCAAUAGUUUCUUUUAAAACAUGAGUGGAACAUGUAAAAAAAGACAAAUAUAGGAAAGGAGAUAUGACAAUCCAUAGAAAUAAAAGACCAACAUAACUAAGUAAUUCUAGAAUACUAUACCUCAACAGCAGUGCGGCCUCUUAAAACCCGCUCUUUAUCAAUUCCCCAAGUGAGACAUUCAGUGUUGCGUUUCCCUUCUUUAUUAGUAAAAUAUAUAUAUCAGGAUUCUUUUGGCCCAUUUCUGUCACCCAGUGAGAAAGAGGGAUAAGUACAUCAUCCCCGACAUCGCCUCCACACUCGUGGAAUGACAUCACGACCUAAACCAAUAUACAGCAAGACAAUGCACACCAUAUCCAACAUGCAUAUUCAAAGAAAAUAUGUAGCGCAGAAAAUCUCUCUUUUUUGAAAUGAGUUUUAACUGAGUCUCACAAACUAAUUUACAAAAAAGAAAGCUAUCAGUGGGUUACUUUUCAGCAAUCUACUCAAGACUAUUUUUCCCCUUACCUAAGACAACAGUCAGAAUAAACUUAAUUUAUAUACAAUGCAAGCCAAAAGAAGCAACAAUUGGUAUUCAACCUCACUUCCAGAAAAUUACUCAAAAGACAAUGAGAUAAAGAGUUUCAAAAAUAUGAUGCAUAUUUCAAUCGAGCCUCAUUAACAACAGAAAAUACAGCAGCACAAAGCAUAACAGAAACUUGGAAAUGGAAAAGGAACCUGCAAUUAGGCUUCUUCAGAAGCAAAAAUGGCAUUAUGGAACCCAGAAUAAGAGAGAAUCACACAGAGAGAGAGAGAGAGUGGAGUGAGCCGGUCUGAGCAAAAAUAAAGAUACUGAGCUUUAGAAAGUAGGAAAGGAUGUUGUUACCAUCCACUAAUUGUAUUGUUCCAUUCAGUAAAGCAACCAAUGCAGUUCUAGGCUCAUAGUUCCUAUUCACAUUAACCCAAGAAAAUUGAGCUUCAAACUGAAAUUUAAAAUCAACAUUGACCCAAAAUACAACUUCAAAUCAAAUUUAAAAUUUAUAUUGGCCCAAGAAAUAAAAUUUGUUCCGCUUUAAACUCAGAAAUUCGAAACCAACCCAUCACCUAGAAAAGUACCAAACAGCAAAAGAAAAGGAGGAGAAAGGAAGACACCACAUUUUGCAACCCUUUGAGUUUUUGAAGUCUAAAUCUUUCCUCUUCUGCUUCUUCAAUGCUUAAAAUUUUCACUCACUGACUAUUGUCUGCCAUUCUUCUUUACUCGGCUUUAAAAAUAAUUUCCAUAGAAUAAAUAAGCAACAAUUUUCUAUGAAUAAAAAGAAGUGGUAAGAAUUCUCCCUCAGAAAAUUAAAAAAAAAAAAAAGAAUGCUCACAAUUUUGUCUAGCAAAUACUCCAGCUUUGUAUCUUCCUAACAUAGGAUUUAUUUUUUUCCUGUAAGAAAGAUUAUUCUCUUGUUGCCCGUUGGAAUAUAAGGGAAUGUAUAUUAUUUUCACAUUUGAAAAUAACUCAAGUUUCUUACAAUAAAAAGUAAAAUUGUUUGCAGUGUGUCUUUGAGUACUAACAAUGCGAACCCCAAGUGACAAUGCAAUUUCCCGUUCUAAAGCGAAGGAAAAAGAAACGAAAAAUUGAAGAAACCAGCCUUUUUGUUCAGUGUGAUGGCUGACAAUUUAUCUAAUGGGAAUAUGAAUAAUUGUGUUACUCGAUACAAAGUGCAAAUAAAAAUUGAAGAAAGCACUUGAAGAUGAAAUGAAGUGUGGGUAAAAAAAAAACAAAUGAAAAUUGAAAUUGAGAUAUAUGAACAAUGAAAAUUGAAAUUGAGAUAUAUGAACAUUCAUUCUUAGAGAUGGAAGGGGAGAGAACAAAAGAUACUAAUCAGCAUAUUGCCAACAUAUAUCUCAGAAACCACCAGAUUAGUUGUAAGGUAGAUUGUUAAAGCUGUUUGAGAAACUUUCGUCUACAAUAUUAUGAAGGAAUGCAAACUAAGUAAUUGGUAGCUGAACGAAAUUUUGGCAAGGAUUUACAAAGUAACUCUAUGAAAUUCAUCAAUAAAUCAUCUAUACAGACGCACAUGUUCCCAGUCACAAUGAUUAAAAUCUAAAACAUUUAUUCAUGCAUUCGUGCAAGGGAAAGAAUGGACUCAGCCUGGUUUCUAUCAAGUGUCAACAAAAGAACACAAUUCAAGUUGCACAAAGCCAAAUUAAAUGCAUAAGUGACAUAAAAAUUGAACAUACCGCAUGAUAGUCCUCAAUCUUCAUCAACCGUGAAUCAUGAAUUAUGGAUAUUAUUCAGACCACGAAUGUGUAAACCCUCCAAUUACGGUUGGUAAUCGGGUUCAAAAUAAUGUUUGUAGAAGUGUGCUGAUUCCUUGAAUAAAAAGCAGAGUCUGCACUAUUCUCACUUUGUCACCCUAAUCAAUUAGGUCAAAUAAGGAGCACAUUCAUCAUCCAUAUCAGUCCAUAUAAAAUACGCAAACAUUAAAAAAAAAAUUCAAUCUUGACCAUUUUUGCUAUGCGAAACUGACGCUUAAUUCUUUUUUAAGAAAUUAGCAUAAUAGUACACAAAAUUUACUUGAAUUUAGUCUCCAAUUGAACAAAGGCCACAACGAUAUAAGAAUUGAAUGAAAGUGGUAUACAAAAUCAACUCACAUCAUCACCACCCAUCAAAGGAACACGGAAUGUGGGGAUCAUCACAGCAGUUCCCAAGGCCAAAAUGUAGUGCUGGAAACCCAAAGCAAUUGUUUCCCCUGUUUUCAAAACAAAAAAUGAGAACCAAAUUGGGGAAAUUUUAAAACCCAACAAAAAAGUCGAGAUUUGGGUUUGAGAAAAGAUGAAUAAUAAAUGAGAAAAGGUGAAAAAUAAACAUACCCUAAGAGGGAUUUGAGUCAAUGCCUUACCCUAAGCCUUGGAGUUGGUCCAUUGCUGGAUGGCUUAUCUCUUCUGGUUUUGGAGCUGCCAUGGCUUCUGCCCAAUUCAAAACCCUUAAUCUGCCUCUAAAUCCAAAAGGGUUUUUACCAAAUGAAUCAAAGAACACUGAUUUGAGAGAGAAAUUCUCCCUGGGUUUUGUUCAAUGAAUACAAAAAUGGAAGUUAUUUUUACCAAUUUAGAGAGAGAUUAGAGUCUAUGACAAUGAAAAGCACAAAAGAGAAAAAGCUAAUGGAUCAUGGAGGUAAAAGAGGACUGAUGACCACACAACCCUCUCUCUUUCUGUCCCUCGAAUUGCACUCUCCCUGUCACCGCGGCCCAUUCCCUCAGAACCCUACCCCCAAAGUCCUGCUCAACCCUCUAGUACGAAUUGGACCUUUGCUCCACCCGAAAAAUAUUUAAAAUGUUCUUAAAUGACUACUUUCAACUAAAAGAGUAGAACCAAAUCAAAACCAACAACUUUCAACUAAAUUGCACAAAAGAGUCAAAAUUUAAUUGCUAUACAGAACUAUCGGUUCAAUCGAAAACAAUCAGAAUUCGAGACCCUACCUCCUCCAUUCUCUGAGAGCGAAGCCCUCCUCAGGCAGCAUCUCCGACGGCGCUGGCAAAAUGGGAUCGUCGGACCCGCCAAACCCUCCAUCAAAACCCUGACCGUUCGAUUCGGGCCUCAAGUAUCCCUACUGGUCGAAGCAGUAGCAGAAGAAGAAGAUGAGGAGGAAGACGAUGGACGUUCAUAAUCGAAGAGUUCGAAGGGAUUUACCUUUGGAUUCUUCGGCUUUCAGAUGGAGUUUGCUUGUGUGUGGGCCUGCAACUUCGUUUGCAGGCGUGAUGUUUCCAUGGAAUUUCUCUCGGGUUUACAUAGACAACAAAGCGAGAGAGAAAGCUUUUGCAGAAGGGGAAUUGUGUUUUGUCGAGGUUUUGAGUUGUAGGUAGAGCUAACGAAGGGAGAUGAGAGAGAGAAGUGGAGCGGCUAGGGUUUGAGUAUGGAAGAGAUGAAAAAUGGAGAGAGCACCUGUUUUGGCUGAAGCACGGCUCACCGAACGAAGAAUAAAGAGGCGGUGGCAAUUUUGUAAAUAACUCUCAAUUCACUGUUCAUUUCUACAGUGCCAUUUCCCAUGCUUUCUUUAGACUAAAGUAAUUGUCAAUUUGCCAUGCCAAAUAUUAGAAAAGUAGAGUGUGGACACGGGAAGAAAACCCAGCUUAGAUAUGGGACCCACAUGCACAUGCAAAUGCAAAUGCAGUUGUCAUCAAUCUCAAUAAUUUUCAACAAACCUUUAUGUUUUGAUUCAAACAGUUUCCCACUUUCGUGCUUUUUGCUUGGUGGGCAAGGAGCAGUUUUUUCUCUUUACUUUAUGAGUUUAACUGCCCAUUAUUAUUAUUAUUAUUAUUAUUUCGAAAAUUAAAAUUGGUUUCAGAAUUUUCUUUUCAAUUUUUGGUUUUCAAAUGAAUCUUAUAAUGUUUAUACGGUCAAAAUACAUUAACGUGUGCAUGAACAAGGAGGAGCACGUCUAAAUCGAGAAAAAAUCUAAAUUUUUGUAUGUGGUUCAAUAUUUUAAUGAAUAGAGUAUUAGGUUUUUACCUAUGCGUUCCGUGUUCAAAACUCUCCAAUUUUCUAAAUUAUUGUAAUAAUUUCGAACAUCCCUUAAUAAUAUGGUACAAAUUUAUAGCUACCGUAAUGUUCCAAUCAAACAAACAAUGACAUGUUUACAUUUUUCAAUACGUGACAUUAUAUAGUUAAAUUGAUCACGGUGCUACGCGGAAGAGGAUCCUCUCUGGAUCCAUUUUGUGGGGAUCCUAGGGAUCCCUACAUCAUAAUCGUUCAUCGUACAUUAUGUGAUCAGUUUUCGUCAAGUACUAUUUGUGUUUUAAUUUUAAAUAGAAAAAAGUCAAAUGAUUUUUAACCGCAUAAUACACGAUGAAUGAAAGAUAUGAAGAUCCGUAAGAUCCCUACAAUUUGGAUUUAGAUAGAAUUCAAAUCCGUGCUACAUGACAACAAAACCAUUAUAUAUAAAUUGCUCUCUAAAAUUAACUCGACAUCGUCCUUUUUUAAGUCAGGUAUAGCACACAAUUAGCCCCUGGAUUUGAAAAUACAACUGGAUCACCGCCAUUUAUACGAUUUAAUGGAACGCUAGUCCGAGUUGGACGGGGCCCAUUUCCUUCCUAAUAAAACAGCCAAGUUGAUGUUGGACUGUUGGAUUGGUGAUAGUGAUGAGCUUUCAGCGCGCUGUUUAACUUUAACGCUGCAUGAUCCAUCACACGACGGACAAUAUAUGUGCCAGAUACAACGUUGCACCUUUUAACCUUUCUACCCAGUAUCCACCUAAUUAUCUCAGCCUCCAUUUAAUGUCAAUUUAAUAUCUACAAUCUUUUGCUAAUAGUUGGGGGGUUUUCUUAACUAAGUUAUCUGCGACUCUAUAAUGUGUACAAAACUGUGCAGGAUUAACCACAAUCGUACAAUGAUGACUGAACUCUGAGAAAUAUUCCCAAAUGGACCACACUUAGGUGAUUCUGGACAAAUCUAUGUGUGAUUGUCACACUGUCAAAUAAUUUUAAUCAGAUUUAAAAAAGAUUUCGUGUUGUUGAACCAAAGUUGUAAGAGACUAGAGGAAGUCAGUCCUCGCUAAGGGAAGGAAAGGUUGAUAUUGGUGUCACGCUCGACCUUGUCGAGGGGGAUGAAGGUGCGGUCGAUUCAAUACUCGAAUUAACCAAAGAGUGAUAUUGUCUACACACCUUCUUUUAAGUAUCACACACUCUUUGUUAAUUUAUGUCAUAUGAUCAUCUUUAAUUCAUUCGAUUCGAUGACAAAAAAUUAAGAGUUGUGUGUGAAAGGUAAAAAGAGGUUAGCAACACUCUUAACUAGAGGUGGCAAAUCAACACGUUGGGUUGUUAAUGGGUACUCAUUAAGACUCAUUUAGUUUGAUUUCACCUUACACCAUUAUCACCAUUACAAACCCCACCUUUAUAUUAUGAUGAUAUCAAAUUAAACGAGUCUUAACGGGCACUCAUUAACAACUCAAUGUGUUGAUCUCCACCUUUACCCUUAACCAAAUAAUGACGAAAGUUUGACAUUUCAUAUCGUCUUCUCUCAUAAGCCUGAUAGUCAUAAAAUAGGAAUAAGGAUCAUCUCCGGAUCCUCUUUGGGAGGAUCCCGAUGAUCCGUGUAUCGUGUCUAUUUAUUGUACAUCAUGCAGUCAGAAAUCAUUUUAAAUUUUAUUAUUUAAAAUUGAACACAAACAGUAUUUGACAAAAACUAAUCACACGAGGUACGAUGAACGGACACGAUUCACGGAUUCCUGGAAUCCCCACAAAGAGGAUCCAGAUUCAUAAAAUAUGGUAUAGAGUUAGACCAAAAGCGACAUAAUUACACCACAUGGCAAUGUGACAUUCAAACCAAAAAAUACUCAUUACUCUCAAGUUUAAAGAACACUUAGCUACACUCAAUAUGUACCGUGAUAUGGAUAAUGUUAUUAACACCUAGUUUUACUUUCUACAUACCUGGUUAAGUUUUGGCUAUUGAUUUUUUUUUUUCAAUUCAUUCGAUGAGAUAACCAAAAAUUAAGAAGAGUGUGUAAAAACUAAAAAUAAGUAUGUGAAUAGCACUACCAUGUGACAAUCCUGAAAUUGAACCUUUUCACAUUGCAAUGCAUAAUCUUUUUUAUGCAGUUAGAUAACUUUAGGGUUUAGGUGUGAUUAAUUGAACUAUAACAUGAAGUGAUAAUAAAUUACUUUCCCACUUAACUCGUCAAUUAUAUAACUAAUUUAAUACUUUACUUAAUUACAAGUGAUGUCUACACUACUAGGUUCGGUCCACGUAUGAUUGACUUUAUACAAUGUCACAGUCAUAGUGGUAUUGAAGAAAUCUGAAUCUGGCGGGAUCUUCUUUAUCAGAUUCUCGGAGAUUCGUGAAUUAUAUUCGUUCAUCGUAUAUCGUGCGGUUAGAAAUUAUUUUAAAUAUUUUUAUUUAAAAUUAAAUACAAACAGUACUUGAUAAUUGAUCACAUAAUAUACGAUAAACGUACACGAUUUACAUAUCUCUAAAAUUCUCGCACCAUCUGGAGAGGACCCAGUUGGGUAUUCAAGGGCAGAAAAGUCGUCCUCCUCACUCACCUCCAUAAGAUAGGGGCAUUUCCGUCAUUCCAUGUGCCUUGAUCCGAAGUUCAACCCAAAAUUUAAGUGGGCCGUCGAUUACUCCUAAGCACGAUUCCCGUGAUUGACGGUGGAUAGAGUGCCGCGUGGUCACUCCCCCCCGGUAAAUCCAUCUCUUCUGCUACGAGACCUCACUCUCUAUUUCUCUCUCUCUCUCUCUCUCUCUCUGUCUUCCUCCUCCUCCGAGCUUCCAAAAAGCUCAUUUCUUCCUUCGAGCCACCGCCCGCCAGUUGAAGCAGUUGCAGAAGCAGCAGCAGCCGCAGAGAGAAGCUAAGCAUGGCGGCAUUCCUCAUUGUCCUCCUCACAUCUCUACUAGCUCUCACCACUCUCCCCGCCGCCGAAUCCCGACUCUACACCAACUACUACCAAAAAUCGUGCCCGAGAUUCGCCCAAAUCGUCCAAGACACCGUCACCAAUAAGCAGAUCAUGAAUCCCACCACCGCCGCCGCCACUCCCCGCCUCUUCUUCCACGACUGCCUCGCCAACGGCUGCGACGCCUCCAUCCUCCUCUCCUCCACCCCCUUCAACAAGGCGAAGGAGAAGCUCGGCGUGUUAGGGAUUCAGACCGGAAGGCGGGGAGAGAUUAGGCACAGGUGUCGAUAUCAACCUCUCAUAGAACAGAGAAGCAGGAACUACUCGCUGUGCACCAGAUCAUAAAUUGGUCCAUCCCUAGUAUGCGUUUUAACUCUUCCCUAUUAGGUUAAUAUUUAUACUUCCAUUAUUUAAGCGAAUGGUCUCUUGUUCCGGCUUACUUCCACAUUUCUCGGUUUUGCUCCCACAUUUCUUGGAUUCCUGGGAUCGUAGAGAUCGUAACCAUUAUUCAUACAUCCGUUUUCGUUAAUUACUAUUUAUAUUUAAUUUUAAAUUUUAAAUUUUAAAAUAAUUUUUAAUAUAUGAUGAACGGUUACGAUCGUGCGGGAUCGCUACGAUCCUUUUCCACAUCUCUUGGAUACUAGUUGAAAACACACUUAUUUACUCAAGUAAGGUGAAAAGGUUGUCAAGUAUCAUACUUGAUGGUAUAUACUUACAGCUGUCCGACGUGAGAAUUCCGUUAAUCUUUGUAAGUCCUUUCUCUUUUCUUUUUGGAAAAUAUUUAUCGGAUUGUUGGAGAAAUUUACUGAUAUACAUUGCCCAGUCUUUUUGAUAAUUUUACUGCUCAUCAGAACAAUCUUUUCUAGCAAACCCUACUGACAGUUUUUAUCGUUAUUAGGUCCGGAAUACAGGAAGCCGGAUGGAAAUUGGUAACAGCAUCAGCCACUUCGGAAUCAUGAGUGCUCAAGUUGUCUUUGUGCUUUUGCUCUUUGCUCUCACGAACAUAUAUACGAAAGAUAUCGACAUUGGUUCAGUUGACCGCUCCUCUCGGAAAGCAAUGUAGGUCGUGUUAAAUUGGGACUUUGGGCAUCAAAAUAAGUCACCAGUGUUCAGGAAAAGCGAGCAUUAACGCCGCUAAGGCGCACCUCUUGCGGUCUUCUGCAGUUUUUUGCCCUUUAUUCCUGCAACUGCUGAUUGCUCGUACAAAGUUCGAUUGAAAUUUAAUGAGAGUCAGAGCAAUGGGAUUUUCCAAGUGUUCCCCAAAGAUCGCACAACGUUCGAUUGAAAUUUUGGCACUCUCCGCACGUCUUGAUUAGUUGAUACGAUUUAACGAGUUAUCCCGUUUAGAUAUUCAUUGAUCAAUUUUGUAACUAAAUUUAACAGUACAAACUCCUUUUUUGGCUGUCUGAAAUAUUUGAUUGAUCAAUUAAAUGUUACUAUCUUCCAUCUGGAAACAAUAAAAGUCGGCCCUCUAUUGGGAGAAAUUUUUGGCCGCGAACGACCAUACCACAUGGCUGUCUAAAAGCAUUUUUAACCGGAGUCCCAUCAUUAUUUUUGAAGACUCAUUUACGAACUUAAAGGGAAUAUGCUUGUUCCUAAAAGAAAAUUAGUUCCAAUGAGAGUGUCUUAUAAUAUAAUCAUUAAAUUUAGGGACUACAAGUUAAAAAAUCAUUGUUAAUUUCAUAGCGGUUGAUCUAAAUGGUAAAAAAACAAAAUAAAACCCCAAAAAUACUUUCAUACCUCUUGUUUUCUGAGCAACAGACGAGAAAAGUAACGCCAUCUGCCCCAUUGGAAGCUGGUAUUCUAGAAUCCCAUCACGUGCUGGGAACUUCACCUGAAGAAAGUAGGGAUUCUAACAUAAAACUAAGAAUAAUGCUAUCUACAUACACAUCCCUACGCAAUCCUUAAUUGUAAGGUAAUUUUUGGGAUCUCCGGACAGUCCCCUAUAUUAUAGGGACUGGAGUUCCAAUCCACUGAAAGUCACCAAGUUCUUAACUUUAAAACAUACGGUGGUACGAACCAAGUAUAAGGACAAAUAUUGGAGAUGCUCUAAUUCAACGAACAAAACGCCCAUUCUUGCCGAUGGUCCCACCCUUCGCCCCUUGCUUGCGUGCGAGCGUCCGAACUCAAGGAUUGCCCCUUGUAUUUGUGCGCGCGUGCGAGCCCUCAGAUUCACUCGUUAUAUUCCUUUGUAAAUUUCUUUGCAUCCUUCCGUGAACGUUCAGUUGUUAAAAUCAGCAAUGUAUUAACCUCCUCCGAAUAUUCGUUGCAGGGAGCAAGAGGGAAUAAAUAAUGCAAGUGGGAAUAAUUAACCUGAAUUUCAGGAAGCCGAGGAAAAGCACCGAGGCAAAGGUCUAGGGCCCUCCCUUUUCCUCCGAGAAACUUUCAGGAACAAGUUGCGUUGACGACGACCUAGACUUUGCUGUGCAUCGUCGACUUGGUGGGAAGUUUCGUCGUGGGGCCUUUUGAUUGGUGAGACAAAGAAGUCCAUAGUAUUAAUAAUAACAAUAGGAUUGAUUCGUAUUCUAUAUAAAGAGAGACAUUGAUCACAUUCUGGUAUCCUCUUCUCUCCAUCUACUGUGUGUUUUAAGCAGAUCGGCAAAAGCUUGAAGAUGAACGACCAGUAAGUCAACUUCGACUUCAAACUCCUCCGAUCCUUGUUUUUCUUUGAAUCCUUUGCCAUGAUUUUUCUUGUGUUGUCUUGAUUAAGCGAAAAAUGGUCUGGAAUGGCUAAAAGUGUGUUUUUCAACUAUCAAAAGUUCUUGCGGUUAAAUCUGGCAAAAAAAACUUGCAAAACGCUUUUAGAUAGACGGUAUAAGCUCUUUUCGGAGAAGCAUGUGCUAUGUCCGCCUUCUACAAGCACUUCUAUAUUUUCAAGUGCUUUUUCGAAUGGCACUUGAGUAUUUAAUAAACAUUUCCAUAUGUUCAUGGUAAAAGAUAAGUGCUUAUGAGUAAAGUGAAUCUUACGAAAUACAAUAGCAUAAUAAUCGUCCUUAAAGUUUACCAAAGUGCAAUUUCAUUCUUACAAGUAUUUUGCUAAAGUGGCUUUGUUAGAAAUAGGUAGCAUUAUUCACGUACUUAUUUUUACUAACAAGAGAGGAUCCUUGCUGUGAGGAUCCUAGUCGGAUCCUCUUUGUGAGGAUAUGGAAAUCCUCCAAUCACAUUUGUUUAUCGUAUAUCGUGCGAUCGGUUUUUGUAAGAUAUUGUUUAUAUUCAAUUUUAAAUAAAAAUAAAUUAUAAUGAUUUCUGACCGCACGAUGUACGAUGAACAUAUAUGAUUGGAGGAUCCGCCCAGGAUCCUCUUGAGACCUACACCUCUUAAUUUUAGGGUCGGUAGAUCAAAUGAAGUGAGGAAGAUCAAUGAACAAUAAUUAACAAGGGUGUGUAAGAGGUGAAUAUGGAUUGGGGAAUAACACUUUGCUAGAAAUAUGAUGAAAUUUCUAUAGAAAACUAGCUUGUUUGAAACAUUUUUAAACCAAUUCUUAGUAAAAAUGCAAGUAAAGUUUAGAAAAGUACUUGCAGUGCUUCCUUGCAAAAAGCAAAUAGUUUUUUUAAGGAAACACUUCAAAUGUUUCUUUAUAAGUGCUUUUGAAAUCUAAAAAUAUUGUCACUAAAAAACGCUUUUAAUUAUUUUAAAAGUACUUUUAAACAUGUAAUUAAAAAUACUUUUGGUGAUUAGACUGACAUUUUCAGCUAUUUCAACAGAAGUUUCAAGCAUGUUUGCUAUUAUAGUUGGAUGCUAUUUGCUUACACCCUCCAUUUAACUUUGCUUCAAUUUUUUGUUGGUGAUCAUGACAGAAUUAGCACUGCUGGGCUUGAACUAGCAAAUGAGCUGGUGACUUCUCCUCCCCUUCACCAGUCAUGGGACGCGGUUCUUGAUCAGAUGCAAAAGCUCCCCCCAGCAGCUGAUCCGAACCAAAAAAUGGCCUUAGACAUUAGUGAAACCAAGCACUCAAACACCACCAUCAUAUCUUUUCUUACUUCACCAGUCACACUUCACGAUCAACAAACGAUGGUUUCGUCGUUGACUCUCAAGAACGCAGAUUUUUCUCUCUUUGAGUUUUUGUGCGGCAAAAACAUCCCAAGUUUCUCCGUCAAUGAAUUGGCAAUCAACUUCUUCAAAUUGAACCUCACAAACCUCGAUAUUUGGCGAAAAAAGGUGCAUAUUAUUGUCUCUCUGAUAACUGAUAAUGUUUAACCAUUUUGACGACUUUUAAUGUUAGUAAGAAACAGUUAAAAAUCAUAUUUAUAUUGCUAGAUUACUUUUCACUUAAUUAGUUUGGAUUCUUUGACAAACUGUUAAUGUUAACGAAAAACUCUUACAAAACCGAGUUUAAGUGUUUUUUCUUUUACUAUGAAAGAAGUUUGAGGAACUUAUUUGUAAAGACUUCUCCAAAUUGAUUAUAUAGAAAUUCAGUAAUUGACUAACUUUUAUGUAAUAUUUCAGCUGGUAGAAAUGUUAGAAAGCAGCAAAUCCUCACGGAUAGUUAUCACUGGACAUUCUUUUGGAGGUGCUGUGGCUACCCUUUUCACCUUAUGGCUGCUACAAAGCCUUGACUUGUUGAAAGCGAAACGCCUCCUUUGCAUCACUUUCGGUUCACCCUUGAUCGGUGACGAACAACUCCGACAAUGUGUGUUGGAAUUCUCAACAUGGAGUUUCUUGCUUCUUGAAUGUAGCCUCCAUCAAUGAUCCUGUACCUAAAGUCUUCCUAACUUCGCAAGGGAGUGGUUAUAAGCCUUUCGGAACAUUCCUACUGUGCUCCUCUUCGGGUGGUUCUUGCAUUGAGGACGCUGAUGCCAUUUUGCAACUAUUGGUGGAAACCAGCUCUCAGUGUGUUCAAAAUCCAGUUCCGAAUUCAGGGACUCAGUUGUUUGAUUACGGAAAGAUUUUGAAUGAUCUCAAGACUAAGGCAUUGUCUAGAGAUGUCUUUGAGUUGGUUGAAGAGGAUAGAGUUCCACUUAAAGCUGGAAUUAAAACACAGUUGGCAGCAAUAUUAGGAGUUCUCAGCUCACAGGUAUCAAACUUUCAACACAAAUAUCUGAUUUGAUGAUGAUUUAGGGAAAUGGUUUCCACACAAACCUGUUUAUUUCCAUCUUUUGAUUCUCCUUUGAUUUAUUUAAUCCAAAGACUAGAAAUAAACACAGGUGUGCAAGGGGAGAAUAUGAGUCUGCGGAAAUCACAUCCCAUGUUUACUUCUAGCUACUAACUUUUCUCUCAACUCCUUUUGUAAAAGUCAUUGCAGCAGCAACAAACCAACAUAGAAUUCGAAAGUCUGAUAAAAAAGAUGGUCACUCACGAACGUAAACUAGCGAUCCAGAAGACGAAGGUUUACAGUUCUUUUUUGAAAUUGAAUGAGAUUAAAAAGUACAUGGCCAACAUUGAAUGGUACAAGAAGGAGUCCAAAGACAUGGGAAUUGGAUACUAUGACAAGUACAGAAACAAGCGUUACACGAGUGACAUUACUGCCGAAGAGUACAAGAAGAAGCUCUUUAAUUAUUGGCAUGACAUGGUUAUGGAAGCUGCGAACAAGCCCCAGACAGAAGGAACCGCAAUGCGUGUCCGUUUUCUUUUUGCUGGAACGAAUUACAGAAGGAUGAUCGAACCGCUUCACAUUGCUGAGUACUACAAGGAAGGUGGAAAAAAUUACGUAGGGGAAAGGCCUCCACAUUUCGUUCUUUUGGAGCAAUGGUUCAAGGAAGACGAGAAAAAGAAGAAGGAAAAGAGAGAGAGGGAAGAAAGGGAGAACCCGCAACUGCGCAGCGCAAGCAAGUCCAACUCAAAAGCAAAGAGUGUGGUUUCUAGUCUGAAUGAUGAUUCUUGUUUUUGGGUGCACGUCGAGGAAGCGCUUAUCUUGUGCGACGAACUAGCAAGUAAUCCAGAUGCCAAGCAAAAGCUGAUCGAAUUUGAGCAUUACGUGCUGGAUACACUCGAGAAUUUCGCAGUGACACCUGAUAUUUUCUUGGCGCAGAGCAGCUUCAUGCAAUGGUGGAACAAGUAUAAAGGGAUUGUGGGAAGUAGCUACUCCUCAAAACUCACGGACGUCAUGAGGCGUCGCACUUAUCUCAAGUAUGCGGAUGGGGUCUCGGUUCUUGCUGGUCUAUAAGCCAAGAUAAUUGAGUUUUAAGCAAGCAAUUAAAUCAGAUAAAGCAAGAUUAGUUUUGCUGUAUCGCUCAUGAUCUUCAUGGAGAAAGACGGGCUGUACUUGCCGGACUUCUUGGUGCUACUGCAUUUGAAUGUUUUUGCUACUACAUGGAGAAAGACCAGCUUUCUUGUGAGACAAAUAAUGUGUGGGGGUAUUGUUUCAACUAUAACGUUGUAAUUUCCGCUUCAUAAAAGUAACGACGCUCGUUGUAUUUUGAUUUUCCCAAGUGUGAGUGCUACCUAAUCAGUAUUUGUAAUAAAUUGAGACUUACAUUUGUUGUAGUUUGCGUUGUAUUAAUCUUCAUAUGAAC